GCCUCGCUCCGGGUCCCCACGGCUGCGAACUGAUCUGGCGCGGGGGGAGGAGGAGAGCGCAGGCGAGAGUGGGAGAGAGCUGGCGAGAGAGCAGGAGCCGGGAGGCACAGGGAGUAGUGACCGCCUUCCGGAGCCGGGAUUCAUGCCUGUCCUCGGGACCAGCGAAGGGGACUUUACGGCUGAGUAUGAGCCAGGCUGCUAGGAGCCAGGUACCCCCACGCCUGCAGUCCCCGCGCCGUCCCCGGUAUGCGAGCUGGACGCAGGGCUCUCCCAAGUUCCCACCGAGCAGAAUAAAAAGCGUCGGCCCGCAGCUCUCCGCCAAAGACGGACAUUGACUCCAGGUAAGGCGGCGCCGGUGCAGCGCCCCGGAGCCCCGCUGCCCUUGGAGAGGGCCCCGCGCCGCAUUCGGGGCGCCCCGGCCGCCCCACUCGCCACGGCACCCUCGUCCGCUCUUCCCAGGCCACCGUCCGCCGCCAAGUCCAAACAGGUUCCGGGGAGGGGGGUCCCUGUACGUGGGGCUCCGAGGGUUAAAUGCGGCUUUUAGUAAAGUGGCAUGUGUGCCCCCGCGCGCUCCCGACGUGUGUACCAUGGUGGGAACUUGAUGUGGUGCUAGUGUGUGUCUGCGUGUGCGGCGUCGUUUGCGUUUGAUGCGUGUUUGUGGUGUGUGUGUGUGUGUGUGUGUGUGUGUAGGGGAGGGGGUGAAGAGAGGUCCUAUAACCUACUUACUGCGCGAUAUGUGUGUGUGUGCAUGUUUGUAUGUAUGUUUGUAUGUGUGCGCUUGUGUGUCUUUUUAAUUAGGUCUCUCCAGCUUACACGAAAUGGGAUCCUUACUAUAGGAUCACGUAGCCAUCGGGAAACCCGCUGUGGACUUCCUCCCUGGGCUCCGGGCUCGGGUUUGGCGGAGAUGAUAGGGAUAUGGAUGGCAUCAUAUUUAGUCCAGUGUUGGUACCCUUGAAGGAAAAUUCCUCCAAAGGAUGGACCUUCUACACACUUGGACACACCGUUUAGUAUGAAAGAGAAAUGACCAGACCCUGAGGCAAAUGAGAUGCUGUCACUUUAAAUUCCACACUGGGCAGACUCCAGGAUUCUGAAGGGAAUUUGGAGGCACUGGGUAGCCUGUGAUAGAGGAAGGGGAAAGUCAGCGCGGUGGGCUUCUUAUCUGGGGCUGGGCAAGUCUGGGAUAGAGAUGUGCCCUGUCUCUUGGUUUAUAAUAUCUCAGCAUAAGGACAUUUCCUGUUUCUGGUGGUUUUGGGGGAGGAUCAGGGCAAGUUUAUGUGGUUCUCCCUCUGGGAAGGGAGAAAACAUCCUCUGGGGACUUGCUUGUCCAUCACCAUUGCAUGGGGUCUCAGAGGAGAUUUCAUGUAGGGGCAGCUCUGCAGCUCUGGGUGAUAGGAAGGCGAUAUCUGGGGCACUUCCCUAAGACAUUUUUCUUUCCUUCCCCAUCUCAGGCAGGCUUGAGAAGCCCCCUGACCCCAGCAAAUCUUCUAAAACUGUGUCCCUGCUGGAGUUAGAAGGAUACAGGGAGAAGGCAGAGGUGUGUGUGUGUGUGUGUGUGUGUGUGUGUGUGUGAGAGAGAGAGAGAGAGAGAGAGAGAGAGAGAGAGAGAACCGGUUGGGGAGACUUACAAUUUGGGAAGGGACCCUGGGUAUUGAGCCCAUGAUAGAAUGUGGCGGUAAUUGACUUAAACUGCUGUCUGGUUUGUACCUCACAUCUCUUGUUUAGCUCCAAAAUACUGCCAAGGGCAGGGUGGGGCGUGGGAGAAUCUCUUUUAGGAAGACAGUUUGGGUCCAGGCCCUCUUUCCUUUUUCCUCCACCUUUUAGGAGUCUUCCUAGGUAAGUCCCUUGGCCACCUUGGCUAGGUACUCUUGGGCUUGGGCUCUGGGGCCAGCCAUUGAUUUGAUUCCCGGCUGUCUCUAAAAGGCUUGCCCUACUCAGCAAAAAUGCUGAGUUUUACUGCUGUUAGCAUGGCUUCCAGACUCGGCAGCUGUUACUUUCUCAAGGUAAGAGGCAGCCGUUCUGCUACCAGGCAGCAAAGCCAGGAGAAGACAAGGCUGAGAAGGUGGAGCCCAGCUUCGUGUCUACCUCAGCUUGAAGGGACCACCAAAAAGGGUUUGAGAGAAGAAGAAAAAAAACAUAGAAAUACACUUGGCUUAAACAUUAUUUAUAUAUGUAUAUAUUUGUCUUCUGGGGUGAGAUAAAAGCAAAUGUGUGUUUGCAGGAACCUGCCCCAGUGAGUGGGUGGCUGUUCUACCUGCAGGCACUUGCAGACAUACCAUUCUCUGGCCAGAGGCAGCUACCUCAGGCUGAAGCCUUCACAUUGCCACAGAGAAUCUGCUUCAGGAAACUCCAGUUAGAGCAGAGCUGCCUGGUUCAUUUUGGGUAGGGGGUGUGAAGGCAGAGGAGGAGACCCCCUGCUGGGAACCACUCUCAUUUUCUCUCUUUUCCAAUCCAUAGAUGAUCGAAGCUGGAAGGAAUAUGAAAGACCAGACAGGCAGGACUCUGUGGCCCAAGACAGGAUGAGGAUCUCCUAACAUUCUCUAGGGAAUUGGUGGCAUGCCCAGAGUUAGAACCCAGGUUGCCUGUCAGUCAUAUCAAUGUCUUUCUCUCAAUCACUCUGCCCAGGGAUUGUGUAUUGUUCUCCACCCUGCCUGGCCACUAUGUUCCCACCCAAGGGACAGCUGCUUGUCUUUCCCUCAUCAAACUUCUCAUUUCAAAGACGUGUUUCAGAACUUCUCCAUCUGGAAAUGUGACCCUCGAGAGAAGUGACCCAAUGUGUCUCAAUCACUGUUCCCCAUAGGCAGGCAUAUCCGUGCAUGUAUCAGACACACACACACACACACACACACACACACACACACAAAACAUAGAUUCUUUCUCCAGUGUCUUUAGAUAAUUAUACACAAGCAGGGAACCAAUACUGACUAUGACUAGUAGACAGAACCCAUCAAAGCAUCUGUACUAAGCCUGAGCUUCUUUAUUAAGGAAAACUUUGCUUUCCAGAGUGCUAAGUGUACACCCACCCAUUAGUGCAAAUACUUCAGGCAAAUUAAUCUCUUUAUAUUAAUUAGAAUCUGAGCCCCAUAUGUUUAUUCAUGUUGCAGGCAUAGGAGCACAGGCAGGCACGCAUGCUUACAGGCACUCACGUGCACAUGUGCUCACACAGAUCUAGAAACCUUUUCUGCUUGCUGCACUCCCAAAAGACAUUUGCGACCUCCACACCAAAUUGGGUUCCCCCUUAUAAAGGCAUCUCUCAAAGUAGUAUUGGGACUCUUAGUUCCAGGGAAAGGGAGAUACAAACCCCUGUGAGCCAGAGGCCCUUUAGAAGUCAGAGUCAGGCUCACUUACAAGUUUGCUCUCAGUCUUCUAGAUGCUCUUUUUUUGGGGUGCAGGCAAGUACUGGGAAGCACAGGGUUUUAGGCCCAACUGCUAUAGUCUUUUCCACGCAGGUUUAUCCAGGGCGGAAUGGCACUUUUGCUCCCAGAAGGGGGAGCUGUGACUCCAUUUCAACCAAGGAAAAACAGCAGAGAGAUUCCAAAUCAGCUGUUGGGCCCCUGUUGAGUUUAGAAGGCCCAGCUCAGGCUGCAAUGAGUACAUUUGUAGCAGUAUAGGUGGAAAUGGUAAAACACCCUUCCCUGUUCUGCUCAAGUAGGACAUCGCUUUCUUAGUGCAUUAAAGAUUUUAUGUUAUUGACCCAAAAGUCCUCUUUUCUCUGAAAAGGUCUUUGUCCAAAGGUCCUUCAGUUGUAUGAGGAGACAUUUUAUGAUUGGCAUCCUCUCUCUUUCCCCUCUCAGUUCCUUAGAUAAAAUGAUCAGCAUGUAUCACCUAGAUAUCCACGAAGGUUAAACAUACCUGGUCCUUCUCUUCCUGCUUCCCCUUUGCUAAAAUCCAAAGUUGAACAAAUCAAUUACCAAACUGCAGGUGACCAUACUAUCAAGAUGGGGUAAUUUGAAAAGGACAAGUCUUCAAAUGUCAUUCUUCAAAUAAUCUCCCCCAUUGUUUUCCAUUUUAAUCCUUUAUCAUUAAAAAUAAUGAAUUUCUCUACCAAUCUUUCCACCACUUCCUACCUUUAGGGUUUACUUUGUAAAACGCUAUCCAUAUUUUAACAUCCAGCUCAAAUAACCCUUUCAAGAAGACUUCCCAAGACCUUAUUCUGGAAUUAAUCUCUUUCUUCCUUCCAUUGCUACAUAAUUUUAUCUGAGACUGUUAAGCUUGUCUCCAUUUUCCUGGAUUGCACCGAGGGGAUGGGUCUGUCUUGCCCUCGUCAGUGUUCUUCUUGGGAGCCUCUUUGUAUCCCCAGGGACUGACACCAGUGGUUGCUCUGUAAACGUUUGCUUUGGCAUUUCAUGUCCAGGCUCAGCAGCAGCUGUCACCUCUCUUCCUCUCUCUCUCACUCACUCUCUCUGACAGUCGCUUCAUAUUUACUCAAAGCCAUGCUGCUGUGGCUUCCAAGUAACGGCUCUUUUACUAAUAAUAUUGUGGGGAUGUUGAUCAUACAGACAGAAAGUUAUGUCCUACUUGGAAGAGAACAUUACCCCAACUGUGUUCCCAAUCUUUCAUUCUGUUCUCUCCUUUCAUCUCCCUUCUCACCCAGUAGGGCAAACACCGACCGUGUUUCAGAAGAGAAAGUGAAGCUCAUGAUGGUGAGGUUCCUUUCCCAAGGUCACAUAAUGAGCAGAGCAUGUGAACCUAAGUCCUCCUCACUAGAGCAUCUCUGUGCUUCCCUCUGUAUAAUUGAGUUAAUGGAUGGCACAUGAGAUGGGUUUAUUCAAUGGCCAGAAAUAACAGAUACAUAUUAUUAACUUUUUGAAAUUGAUGGUAUGAAGGUGUCAUGGAGUCAUUAGAUAAAAAAAAAAAUCUCAGUAUUUUCUUUGAGAAGUUUCUCUAAAGAAACCCCUGAUGGUUUUUCAAUAACUGAACUUUCUUCUUAUUCAGGAAUCAAAAAUCCUUUUGGUAACACAAUCCAUUUUAGUUUGAGUCCUUUUGGAGCCCAUGAGUUCAUUACCACACAAAGCAGUCUAUGUUGUAUUUGCACAGCUUUGUUGGAAUAUUUUCUUUUUCUUUUAGACUUUGACCCUAAAUCUGCCUUCUCUCUAUAUGUCUCUGAAAUCACACAAAUACAAUUCUCUUUCAGUUUUCUGUUCUUCACAUAAUAUGCAAGCAUAAUCACAUAACUCCCAAGUUUUCUUUUUCCGAGAAAGGCCUGUCUUCACAGUUCUGUCUCCUGUAACAUCCUUUUAGGAGGCCUCUGACUAUGCUGGAUAUUGUCCUAUGAAUAUUCUCUUUUUAAUCUUAUUUUUUAAAGGAUUUUGGUUGCUGUUGUUGUUGUAGAUGAACACAAUAUCUUUAUUUAUUUAUUUUUAAUGUGGUGCUAAGGGUCAAACUCAGUACCUCGUACAUGGUAGGCAAACGCCCUACCACUGAGCUACAACCCCAUCCCUUAUCUCAUUUUUAAGGUUUAGAAGGCACAAAAAGGGGGAUCAACAACCUGAAAUUGAGUGAGGAUUAAAAGAAAGCAUUAAUUUAUUAAGGUACUCGACACAUACUUAUUGGGUCCCUGAUAUUUGGAAAACAUUGCUCUAGACCAGCACUGUUUAAUAGAACCUUCCGGAAUAAUUAAAAUGUUCUCUGUGCUGUCCAAUAUGGUAGCCAUUUACUGCAGGUUAUUACUGAGCACUUGAAACAUCUCUAGCACUAUUGAUAAACUGAAUUUUUAAUUUUAUUUAAUUCGUAUUGAUUUUUAUUUUAGUUUGCAUAGUUAUAUUUGGAUAGUGGUUACUGUAUUGAACAGUGCAGGUCUAGACAUCAGUAACGAAGCAUGAACAUGGCCCUGUUUUCAAUGGAGCUCAUACUUAGUAGGCAGAGCUAGAUAAUAAAUGAGUAAGCAAAUAGACCAGCACAAUAGUGUCACAGAAAAGAAUUAGGGGAAAUCUGCUAGAAGAGAAUGUGGGUGAUUUCACCUGAGGAAGGUUAGUCAGGGAAAGCCUUUUCUGGGCAAGUGGCAUUAGAGCUGAGAUUGGAACGAGGAAGAACCAGCCUUGAGGUUGUAUUGGGGAGGAGCAUGAGAGGCAGGGAGAAAGAUGACAAUGUGGUACUCACCCAGAGGGAGGCUGGGGAUGGACUGAACUCUACGUGGCUGAGGAUUUGAAUGAGAAGGAGAAUCAUGAGGAGGCAGGCAGGCGCCAGAACCCACAGGCCUCAGAGAGGGAAAGACGCGGCGGCAUCUCUCCUGUGCUACCGCCCUGGCUGGGAAGCAAGUGGUGUGAGACCUGAGGAGAGUUUGGAAGUUGACAGAGGCUCAUCAUCAGGUUCUCAUGAUGGGUUUUCAUCCUGUUCAAUUUUAAACAGGUGUUUAAACAAGUUCUUCUAAUCUGAGUUCCUAGGCCUGCUUUGAGUGUCAUACCCUGGCAAUGCCAAGUCUGAGGAAAGGGGAGGAGUAGGAGUCAAUUGGGAGGGAAAAAAAGGAAGAGAAUGAAGACCUGGGGAGAAGGUGAUUGCAGUGAAAUCUGGAGUGAGUUUCACCUGCCAAAUAUUAGGGAUCUUGUCUGUGAAAGGCCUUGAACAAAGUGACUCAGGGGCUACAUCACUGAGUCCAGCCAGGUGCUGGCCAUCUAAUACGAGAGGUCUGGCAAUCCCUACGUAAUCAUCACGCAUAAUAGACUAAUAGCACCAUUUCCCAAUUUCUGUGAGAGCGUGGGGAGUGGAAGCCACAUCAGUAGAGAAAGUGAUGAUGAAGAUGGUGACAGUGUCAAUGAUCAGAGACCGUAUCCUUUCAUUUUAGAUCCCCGUAGUUCCAAACCUCAUACAAUAGGAGCACAGGGACACGGGGCUCUGGCCACUGCAUAUCUAGACCUCCUGGGGAGCCUGUGUUUCCCUCUGUGGGCUUGUCUUUGUAAGUUGGGAAGGACCUUAUGUAGCUUGACCUCACUGAAGAGGUGUUGCCCAGUUCUACAGAAAUGCUGCGUGACGCAGUUGUUGUACAACCAGAAAGACACGUGCACGGUGGCCAUAUGUCACUGUAAAGUCUAGAUGACCUCUCAAAAAUGAGCAAAUCUAAAAGAAGUCAUAUCUCAGAGCACAGAAUGGGAUCCAAGACAGGGUGGCCAAGGGGGAUAGAUAGAUGGUUAUCUUGUGCUGCUGGUGAAGUUCUUAAUAUCUGAGUGAUUCAAUGUUGCCACGAAACCCAAUGUCCUCCUGGAACACAGAAGGCUGCCUGGAAAUCCGUAGACAAUCCUUCCUACUGAGGGGGCAAAGAAGACAAUUAAGAAGAUAAUGAGGCCGAGGAGAAGUGAAAUUAGUUUUUUUUUUUUUCAUGAGAGUGAAGGGGAUCUUUGUCUCCCAAGACAACUAGCUUUUGGAUAUUGCAGGUGGCCUAAAGGAGAAUAGACUGAAGAAGAAUGAGUGUGAGAAAGUUAAGAGCAGUAAAUGAUCAGACCACCCUACCAUCCACACACAUGAGCAGGGAGCCCAAGGAGGAAACGCCAUAGAUCAUUCUGCACGAAUUCUGCUCUCAGCGUGCAGUGGUUUCUCAUGGGGUGCAGAGCUGUGUGCAGGAUGCUAGGGCCAACUUGGGAACAGCUAAGUGAUGGUAUGCCCCCAAGGGUGCAAGGUAGAUUUAUAAGGCAAUUAACAAAGGCAAGAUGCAGGGCUUUUUUUUUUUGGUGUAAAUUGCAAAGGUCGGAACAGCGGGACUGCAAGUAAAUGACCCAUCUGAAUAGCUAGAACUCUUUGUAAGGGUUAAUUCAAUACUGGCCCCAAAGGGUUUCUGAGAGAUAAUUUAUCUAGCCUUUUAAAGGUCCUGCAAAUGAGCCAGUGGGAACCUCUCGGAGAAAGAAUGGAUCCUGGGGGUAAGGCGGAGGAGCCCAGUUUCAGAUCACAAGUGGAUACUGGAUACUGACGGAGGAAGGACAGACAUCCAGUAUAUGAGUGAACCUUAGAGGAUCCGCCCUAUGAAGUGAUGAGUUGUCUGGUUUCCGUUCUAAAAUUUAGCAGUCUGCAAAAGUAAAUGAAACUCUGGUGGGCUGUGGAAUUAUAAGAGUAUCUGGAAGCCCCAAGAUCAUCCUGGAAGUGCAUUCUGAGAACUGUGACAGAGACAACUGGCUUUAGUAAGUCUGCUCUGUUUGCACAGUACGAGGUAAGCUAAAAUGCUCAUGGAAGUUGAUGAGUUCUGAGUUCAUUGGCACCUCGUAGGGGAAGGACCGACAAGGAGCCGUGCCGCUACUAUAAAAACAUCUGCACCAGCACAGUAGCCAUUAAAAAAAGAAAAUCAGCACUUUGGUAUGUUUAGGAGUGUAGGGGAAAGAUUGAAAAAUAGAUUACCUGGCAAGGCUUGGUAAUACGGUUUUGCUGCUGGGACACAUUUUGGAGACACGACUCUUUUAGAUGAAGUGGUCCUCGUCAAAUGCCAUUUCCAGAGAUGGCCAAGGAUGGGGAGGGCUGCGGGGGGUCAUAAAGAAUUUUAUUCUGAGUGCAUAUCAACAGAACAGCAUCCUUCAAAGUCCAGUGAAGCCUUACAAAUGAUUUCUGAAAAUAUUGCCAGGUCAGCCUCAGUUUUGCUUAUCCUUUCUCUUUCCUGACAGUGGAAAUUAUGCAUUUAUGGAGAACUCGGGAUCUUCACCUAGAGACGGCCAGAAUGUGACUGUACUAAAAUCAUUCUUGUAGUGGGAAAGUGUCUGGGCUAAGGGUGUCACGUGUUCUUUGUUCUGUAAUAGAUGAUUGAUAUAGAUUUCUUGUUGAAUCUUCUCAACAAGCUCAUGGGUAGUAUCUCCCAUUUUAGAGAUGAGGAAACUGAGGCACAUAGAAGUGAUACUACCUGUCUAAGGCCUGUCAACAGUGUGUUAUUGAAGAUUUGAGCCUAUUUCUAUAGGACUUGAAAGGAGAGAGGUUAAAAGCUUCAACAUUGGUGUUUAAUACCUGCUUUUCCAUUUAGUAGUUAUCUGAUCUUGCUCUUCCAUCGAGUAGCUAUCUGACCUUGGCCAGAUUGCCCAAUACUCCCAUGUCAGUUUUCUCAUCUGUAAAAUGAGAAUAAGAAUGGCAAGUUUGCAUAGAGAUAAUGUGGGAAAUUAGUUCAUUUACACACUAGGUGCUUCACACAAUGCCUGGCAGAUCAUCGGAGCUAUAUAAGCAUUUACUGCUAUUGCUUUGUGUGGUUGCCCUGAUACACCCUGUUGUAUAAGAUUAGCAUUGCCUGCACUCCUGGGGUGUGUUUUCAUGCUAGAAAUACCCCACGUGAAAGAGAUUACUAUUAGGUUCAAGGAACUGCCUUGCUGUUUUAAUCAGCUUUUUUGCUGCUGUGACCAAAAGGCCUAAAAAGAACAAUUUUAGAGGAGGAAAAGUUUAUUUGGGGGCUUAUGGUUUCAGAGGUCUCAGUCCAUAGAUGGCCAGCUUCAUUGCUCUGGGCUAAAGGUGUGGCGGAACAUCAUGGUGGAAGAGUGUGGUCUACUAAAACAGCUCAGAACACAGCCACCAGGAAGCAGAAUGAGCAAGUGCCCCUCAUGAAAACAGCAUGUAUGCCCAAAGGCCUGCCCUCAAUGACCCAUCACCUCUAGCCACACGCUACCUGCCUACAGUUACCACCCACUUAAUCCUCAUUGAGGGUUUGAUUCACUGAUUGGGUUAAGAUGCUCAUAACCAAAUCAGUUCACUCUAAACUUUCUUGCAUUGUCUCACAAUGAGCUUCUGGGGGACACUCAUAUCUAAACUAUAACAUUGCAAAGGAACUCACUCAUCAUUUUUGUCAACAUCCUCCCUCCCCAUCCUCCAGGGUAGCAUGUGACACUCAGGAGAUACUGAGAAAGCAGGGAAGGCAGAGAAGUAUGCAAAAUUACUAAGGCAGGUUUUUUAAAUUUCAGAAAACAGAUACAGACAUAAGGUCAUCUGUCCCCAGAGCUGAAAAUCAUCUUCCACACUGUUCAGUUUAAUUUUCACUUUUGUUUUUGUUGUUGUUUUGUUUCAUUGUAUACACAGACUCUUCUUUCUUAAGAUCCAACAGUAUCUAUGUUGGUUUGAGAACCUGAACUCCCGGCAGCCCAUCUCACUGUACCUUUUGCUUGGCUUUCUAAUCUAUUAGUGUGCUUAUCAGGUGUGCAUGGGAGGGUGGCUGAUGGACAGGGUGCUGAAUGCCCUGGUGUGAUCUGGUCUCCUCUUCCUCAUGAGUCAGUCCACUCUUCAUCCCUGUCAUCACUUACUUUACCAAGAACUCGAAUGUCUUGACAUGAUUUUUAUAAUCUCAUUAAUCUUUAUAUUAACACUUUACAAUUGGAACUAUUCUUCCAUUUUCCUGGUGAGGACAUUGAGGUUCAGAAGUGAAAGGACCCACUCUAAGAUAUUAAACUGGUGGUGGCAUCAGAUCUCAGCUUGUGUGUGCUAUUGGUCAUUGGUAAUGUUAUUACAUUAACGUGCCUUCCCUCCUUCCACUAGUCUAAGGCAUUGUCCAGCGGUCAGCAGCUUGGUGGCUUGCCAAAAUUAAGGUUGAUGAUUGCUACUUGGUCCCUGUUGUCUUGGGCCAGGUCAGCCAUUGCAAAUCUCCCCCCUUCUGUUAUGCAUGUGCCCGGGAUUCUGAUCUUAUACACGCCUAAAUGAGAAAGGCAUCCAUCUCACAUGUUCUAGGAGAUGUUAUAAAUGGCGCUGCUGGAGGGAGGCUUCUUAAAUCUCCUUAACAAUCUGCAUUUUACUUUCUCUCCUUCUUUAUCUGUCAGCAUCAUGAAUAUCUUCCACUCUUCCAGUGCUUUCUGGCUGCCAACUUCAUAGCCUCUUAAAAUAGUAAUUUAACUUCACAAUGCCUCAGCAGGAAACCUUAGCUUAGCCUGUUUAUUUGUACCCAUAAGUUGUAAAAGUUCAAAUGCUGCUGAGACCAGGACCAGUAGUCAUAGAAUAUGCUACUGUUUACCACUGAACCAGAGUCAGGUGCCAAGAUGUUACUUUUCUUGGGGAUAGAACCACCAAAGGCACUUCUGAUUACAGUAGUGCUUUUAAAAGCAGUCAAAGAAAGAGGGUGGAGGUGGCAGGAAUUGUGGCAGCCAGAUGUUGCAAGAUAAUAUAUGUACAUUUCUCUGUAUGUGCAUCUGUCUCUCUCUUCUCCUCUCUUACACCCACAUAUGUAUAUGUGGAAAGAAAGGAAUACUGAACAUGGUUGAGUGUGGGAAGGAAAGAUAGAGAGAAGCAAGUCCAACGCCAGUUUCUUUUUUCUUAAUAAUGGGACAUGAAGCCAGAGAUGGUCUGGAGAUCACCUACGAUCAGAAGAUGGUUUGGAAUAGAACUUUCAAGUCACAAUGGAAUGGGGAACACAUGUGGUCAAUAUAUUUAUUAAAAAAAUAUUCUGGUUCCUUAAAAAUCAAUAGCAGUGGGAUGCCAAAUACUAUUACCAAAGUUUUGUUUUGUUUUGAAUGUCACUUCCAAUUUGGACAUUCAUGCAGGGAAAAGGACACUUUGGUGUAGUGUUGGCGGUAAUAUGUAUUAAAUGCAGAGUCUUUUUAUGAAAUGUGACUUUUAUUUUUUUUUUCAUUUUAAAACAAAUGAAAAAGCAAACCUUGUUUACUGAGCACUUCUUCUGUGCCAGACGCUGUUCUAAGUGGCGUGACAAAACCAAGACCCCCAUCCCCAUCUUGGAGCUGACACUGUAAUUGAGGGAGAAGAUAAUAUAUAAAUAAACAAGUAAAAAUAUAUUAUGUGUCAGAUGGUGGUAAGUGUAAUAGAGAAAAAUAGAACGUGGUUGGAGAGGGAAGAUGUGGGGACAGAUGGUGAGGUGGGAGAGGGCUUGUUGUUCUGCGUAGGUGGGAGAGGGAAGCUUUCAUUGAAAGGCUGACGCAGGAGCAGGGCCCCAGAGGAGACCAAGAGGGCGCCAGGUGGACACAAGAAGGAAGAGCAUUCUGGGUGAGGCAGUGAGAAUAGAGUCCCUGAGGUGGGACGGUGCACACGAGGGAGAGGGUGUGGAAGGGGCAAUGUGCCUGGGCUGAGUGAAGUAGGGGUGAAGGAGGAGCCCCAUUAGCAAGAGAACAGGACUUCAUCUUGAUCUGGAGGACUCUCAGCUCUGUCUCUCUCUAUCUUUGUCUUCAUCUUUGCCUCAUCUCUGAGGAAUUCCCCCUUCUAGGAAGUCAGUGAAUUAGAUGUGCACAAAUUUGUGAAGAAGGGAUGUUAUUAGAACUUUUGUGGAACAACGAAAAAAACAAAAGAAAUUGUAUAAUGGAAUACUGAACAGACUUUGAGAAUGGUAUUAGGGAAGCACAUGUAUACAUUUGAAGGCAGCAUCAAAAUACAGAGGCUCAUCUGUAAGGUGGGCCUUAUUAUAUUAUAUCUGUAGGCACUCAGCAACGCACCUCAUAUGCAGUAAGAGUUUCAAAAAUGGCACUUACGACAUUUAUUGAUGUCAACCUAUUUUUUAGUGAACUGUUAAGUUAAAGAAUCAUAAGGUCAAAACACCAUGGAUAGCACCAUUGAUUGUUUUAUAAAAUGCACCUAUUUAAGCGUGGCUUUAUUUUGGUAAUGGGUUAUGAGUCAAUUCCAUCUUUUUCUGCUUACCUCUAUUUAUAAUAUUCUGUAAUGAAUGUGCAUUACUUGGGUAAUCAACAUUUUAAUUAGUAGGAUGUGGGGGAUCAGUGAGCAAUUCAAGGUAAGAAAAAGAACCAAAGCAGAGGACAUGUUUUAAUGCAGAGUUUUCUACAUUUCUAAGUCAUGCAUCCUAAAUCAAAUUUAAAUAGUCAGCAUAUAUUUGUUUUCUGAUUUGACCUUGGCCCGAGCAAUGAUAGUCCUAAAAAUUGAAGAUUUUCUAGGUGAUUUAUACUUUCUAUUGAAUAUCAAAAUAACUCUCACACCCUUUAAAGGAACUGCCCCCACCUCUGUAUCACCUGGAAUCAUUUCCCGUCUGGUGGGACUUUGUGCUUCAGUUCAGUAGCAGGUAGGUGGCGGCUUCCUCUGCAUCAGGAGACUUUUCCUCUCACGCUCUCUUCAUUUUGAAUUUUGGGUAAAUCAAAUCCGUUCUCUAGACCUCAGUUUCCUCCCUUGUAAAUGAAGGUUUGAGAUUCAAGAGAGGCUCUGAGGAAUGUUCUGCAGCCCACCUCAGGAGGAAGGAGGGGUUGAUCAGAUGAGACUGGAUCUGAGACCCUCCCCAGCCUGCCACCUGCAUCAGAGCAGCUCCACUUCAUCUGCUUGGCUUUAUUACAUUUCUGUAUUUGAAUAAGAGGCUUCAAGGCUUUAAAGAAAGCUCACAAUCAUUGCCUUAAACUUUAAAUUGUCUCUCCAGUGGACUUUUGAGUGACAGAGUCUGUCCUAGAUUAAACCUUUGUGCUGAACUCUUUGCAGACCACAGAUGACGUAGGCGCAUCCCAAGGGUUUCAAGGGAGGAGAAGACAUGUGAAAGAAGGCACAGAAGGAGACUUCGUCACCCUUGUCCUCACAAUGCCUGGCAUAUAAUUGCCACCAACUGAUGAAAUUAAUUCCAAGAAAUAUGUGCUCCAUUUACAAUAGUAUCUUAUAGAAGUGAAAUGUUUGUACAGGAAGCCUCAGGAAUACAUGCAUGUUAGUUCACGUUGCCCAGGGAAGUCUGGGCAGGUGGUGGCAUGGGAAGUGGGCCUGGAAGGAUCUGGACUCCUGGAAGUGGAGAAAGGGGGCCUUCUGGGUAGAUGGAAUGGUGGACCCCAAGACAUGACCUAGCUGUGUUGUCUUACAUCACAGAAUCAUAGAAUGUGAGGGCUGCGCUAGAAGACAUGUUAGGAUUCAUUAUAUCUGUCCCCUUCUUCUGACAGAUAAAGACAUUAAGGCCCUGACAAGGGGGACUGUCUUGGCAAAGGUCACAUUCUUACUUCACAGGACACUAGACCUAGAACACCAGGUUCCUGCCUCCCCGUGUGCAUUUGUUCCCGUGACACAGUGUUUUGACGUCAUUGUUCAUGGUGCUCUGGUGCUUGGAAAACUCGGAGACUGGAGAGGCUUUGUGAUUUACCCUCUUGGAAAUCAUGAUGUAUAUAAGUGUAUUCAAGGCUUGGUCAAGUGUUGUAAUAAAGGGAGCUUUCACAUCUUGAUGUCAACUUUCUGAAAAUUGUUUGAGUUUAGAAUUUUUACUUGACACACACACACAUAUCUAUCUAUCUAUCUAUAUAUAUAUAUAUAUAUAUACAUAUACAUAUAUUUAAAUUUAAUUCUUAUUAGUAACCUGCAUAACACACUUUGGGAAGUUCUAAUACUAGACAAGUCUAUCCUCUCUAGAAAAAUCAGAAUAUUAUACAUGUACAAUUUUUUAUACAGACAAUUUUGGUGAUAUACAUUAUUGUAGAAGUGAUGAUCAUAUAAGAAAAUUGUCAAAGACUAGUAAGAAGCCGGGCGUGGUGGCGCAUGCCUGUAAUUCCAGUGGCUCAGGAGGCUGAGGCAGGAGGAUCACAAGUUCAAAGCCAGCCUCAGCAAAAGCAAGGCACUAAGCAAGUCAGUGAGACCCUGUCUCUAAAUAAAAUACAAAAUAGGGCUGGGAUGUGGCUCAGCAGUCGAGUGUCCCUGAGUUCAAUCCUCAGUACCAAAAAAAAAAAAAAAGGACUAGUAAGAAGGAAAGUUUCCAAGGUUUAGUGUAAGCUUUCUUAUGGGGAGUUGCUCCAGAAAGCAUUCUAAGUCCUAAUUUCAAAUCAAAAGAGAGCUUUAUUUACCUGGCCAGGGACUAUAGAGACACAAGCUCUGUGAUAGGACAGCAGCUUCCUGGUCCAUCCAAAGAGAAUAUAAGCAGAAAACCACAACUCAGUGACUUACUUAUCGUCAUGUAAGCUAGCCAAUCCUAGAAAUUAAAACAUUGAUAAGUGGGACCUGUGUUGCAGAAUUUUCCAGUCAGCAAUCAAAUGAUAAACAGAAGCUAAAAAAGCAUUAGCUUUGCAGUUCAGUUGACCACAGUCCUGGGUUCAAGCAGGUGCCGGAUAGUCACAUCCUGAAUUUGGGCAGGGGUUGGCAGGUCGAGAAUCUACUUCAAAGUCAUGUAGACCCACAAGGGCAUUUAAACCUAGGAUGUAGCUCCCCACCACCAUUGCUGCAUCCUAAGUAGGGUAUAAUUUGUGGGAUACAAAGUACAGAAAGACAAUUUUUUUUAAAAAAAAUAAGGAAACAGCUUUCAUUUCAGUUUCUCAGAAACAGCUCUUGUAACAGUUUUCUUAUAAAAGGCAGCAAAAUGGAGUCUUAGGUCUGUCUAUGACAGUUCUUGCUUUAUAAUUAUCUUAUCUCACUUAUCAAAAUCUUAUAUCUAUAAUCUAUAUCUUUUACUAAUCUAUAACCUAUCACUUACACUCUUAUUGAUUGUAUUUCAGUUCACACGAUGACAGCUUCACCUCUUUCCUUCUUUCCCUCCUUCCUGUUUUUAGUUUAUUUUAUUCCUGAUAUCUUCUAUUCUUUUCUUCAAAAAAAAAUAUAUAUAUAUAUAUGUGUGUGUGUGUGUGUGUGUGUGUAUAAAAUCUACUUUGUUCCAGGUUCUAGAAAAUCUACCAUGAAUAGAGUAUCUUUCUAAUCAGAAGCUUCUGUCAUCUCCAUAAGGUGACAGAUGUGCGGACUGAGAUAACGCACUGGAGCUGGUGUCGUGGUUGGGGUACCACAGCUCACUAAGGCUUAGAGAGGUCAGACUGUGUGGGUGCUGAAGGCUGAGGAGCCAGCUGGAGAGGCCCGGAGGCCCUUGCAAAUGGAGUGGGAGAGGAAGCAGUCAGUGAGUCUGCAGAGCAUGCUAGGGGUGCGGCUCAAAAAAUAAUCUAGGGUAGAGCACACAAAGCCUCAGAACUCAGAUUAAGUCAUCUCCAUUGAGAAAAUUGCUGAGAACUUUUAAGACGGCGCAUUGACUUGAUCAGAGAUGAGAUGGAGAAAAAUAAGUAGGUGGGAGAGGGCAGAAGGGAAGCCUGUUGCCCUUUAGUAGGUCAUGGUAGUGGUCCCCGUGCCAGAUACAAGCUGUCCUUCUAGACUGGCACAGUAACCGGGAAGUGGAUGGACCCAGGCGACUUUGCGAUGGUGGGCCAAGGGAAAGGGAGGGGUUGAGGGCGGCCCUCUCCAAGGCUGUGUCAGAUCUAGGCCCGCUCGCUCUAAAUAGAGCUUCCAGAAACAGCAGGGUCUCAAUUAUCUCACCGUGGGCUGUGGAAUUCUAAAAAAAAGUUCUCAAAACAAAAUUAAGUUUAAUUUGCUUUAAUUGAAAAAUAAACACAUGCCAUGUACAGCACUCUCAAGAGGAGGAAAAAAAGGGCUAGAAAAUGAAAUGAACAGUUGGGUGUGGAAGGCCCAAUUAUUGGAUAUCCUGAAAUGGAAAUUGGUAUUGAUUGAGAAAAUGAAUUUAGAAUUAAAUUCAGUUACAGAAUGUGUAGGCCUCCUCUCUAGGCUUUGAUUUCCUUAAUUUUUUUUUUUUUGGUGAUAUUGCUAUUUUGAUUGUUAUUGAGGAUGAUAUGAGGCAGCUGUGGAAUUAGAAAGAAAAAGAGAGCUAUGAACUUGGAGUCAGACUCUUUGACCACUUUUCUAUCACUUAAGUGACUUUUGGUAAAUCGUGCAUUUCUUAGCCUCAGGCUUCUCAUCUGUAAAAUGGGAGUAAUAAUGCAUACGUCACUGAAUUCCCAAAAGGCUUAAUAAUUAGAAUACAUGGAAGUUCUACAUGGUUAAGAGCUGAUGGAGAAGGAGGAAGGUGUGGAGGAGGGUUAGGAGGCAUUGCCCAGGAUGCAGGGGUAAGAGUGCUUCAGUGAGAUUAGGUGAUGCAUUCUUCCACAGAAGGCUUAUUGAGAGGUAUGCUUAGGCGGUUCCCUGGAAGUUGGGAUACAAGUGGAGAAACCGCUGAGGCUGGCCUCAGGGGCGCUGUCUUCUAGCAACAAUCUUUAGGCCACAGAAUGGAACCCAGAGUUGGAUGGGGUGGAGGGUGGUGGCUGGCAGGCCCUGAGCUUUGCUCUAAGAUCUCUCCUUAUUCUUUCUUAUGACCCUCUGCCUUCCCAUUAGACAUGCGGCACUUGACCCUGACUUGGGCUCCUCCUCGUAGAGAAUGGCAUGGCAAACUUAUUCACAUUUGGGGGAUAGCCACUUAGAAUUCUAAGCUCUAAUUGCCAGAUUCUUAAUAAUAUCAACAUCUGAGGAUCAUAACGAGAAUUUUUAGAGUCUAUCAAACUUUAGAAUCAGAGACUCUUUGAAUAGUGAGGACUCAAAGUCAGAAUCUCAUAGACUCUCAGAAUGGAAUGUGCAUGCAAAAUAAAAGAAUGAACCAAAAUAUGAACAGGCAUCCCAUCUGGGGGGGGUGGGGUUUGGAAAAAUGGGUGUUUCUCUUUCCUUAUAUUUUUCUGUACCUCUUACAUUUCCUGUCAUGAGCCUGAUUAACUUUUGCAAGCAGAAAAACAAUUCUGAAAAAUUAAAAAGAAAAUAGUGAUUUUUCUAAAAAAAAAAAUUCCAAACUUAGUACCAAAUCUUAAAAAAAGAAUUAUGGAAUCAGAGUCUUUCAGAAGGGAGUGGUAUUUUGUGGUUAUCUGGUCGACCUUCUUUCUCAAUUCUAGGAAAAUACUAAUAGAGCAUUAAAAAGGUAAGUGAUCUUGAGACUGGAUAUAUGUGCAAAAAUGUCUAGGAGGAAAACACAAAGCUUAGUAAAAGUCUGGUGAAUAAACUGGCCAAACUGGGGCACUAAUGGCACAAACAGGUGGAGCUUCUCAAUAUCGUAAGGUUGCUUGGAGGGAUGAUUGUUGACUUUAUUGACACCUAAGACAAACACUUAUCAUGAGUAAUGGAAAGCUUGAAGCAAAGCAGGAUUGAUGGCUGUGCUCACCGACCAUACCUGCUAUAAUUCUUAUGUUGGCUAAACCUAUCCUUGCUGUCAUUUUAGAAAAUAUUCCCUUAAAUAUCCAUCUUCUUUUCUAGGACUGUAAGCUCCAGGAGGGUAAGAGUGAUACAUGAGUUUCUAGGACUUCUCUGGAGAUUCUAGAAAAGUGCUUUGCACAGCUGGGCACUUGAGACAUCUGUUCCUAAAAUCUCUUCCCUCAGAGCUUCCUCUCUUAGACACAUGCUGAGCUAUUGUUGAUCUGUGCCCUUGGUUAGGUUUGCUCUGAAGCAUUGGUUUGUGUAGUGAGGGCUGCUUCUUAAAGAACCUGCAUCUGUUUUGUGUGUGUUCCUUGUUUCUUUCACAGUCCACGUUCUCUCCCAGGACCUCAAAUCCUAGUGCCGAUUUUGACGGGUACAGGAAGAACCUGGAUGGGAGGUUUGUAGUCUGAGCAAAGCUCUUUGAUACCAUGGAAGCUGCUUGGGUGAGUGAGUGUGUGUGUGCAUGUGUGUGUGCUACUCACAUAAAUUGUGAAUGUUGAUGUUUUGUAGGGGAGUGUGUGAUUUCUGUUUGCAUGUAUUCACAGAUUCCUACGUGCGAUCACGUGUGAAUAAACUUGUGUGGAAAUGAACGUGCAAUAGGCAUGUUACACAUCUACCUGUUGACAAGGAGCGUACUUUGUUAAUGGGUAAGAUGUGAAUGCAUACCUUACUUCUGACAAUGAAGUAGGUGCUUCCAUGAAUGUUAAUAUAUCUGAUUUUCCAAUGAUGACUUAGGUAUUACAGUUUUUAUUUUGCAGAGUGUCAACAAAGGCUUUUAAAAUUGAAGUGACUAGGGCUGAUAUUUAAAGUGAAGUUCAUAUUUUUAAGUGUGCUGGUGUUGAGUACUGGGGUAUGUGUGUGGGAUAUACAUUCAUGCUCAUGUGGAACAUGCAGGCAUUUUUACAUGUACUUCUUAAUGCAAGUGUGUAUUAAGUGAAUAUAUGUGUGUGUAUAUCUAUGUCUAUCUAUAUGUAUAUAUAGAUUAUAUAGAUAAUUAAAUUACAUAAUUUAAUUAUAUAUAUAUAUAUAUAUAUAAAAUCAAAACACUAUCUUCCACCAAAGAAAAUGUGUGUGAUUGAUUUGAGGUUUGGGGGAGCAGGGGAAGAUGAACUGAGUCAUAUGGGAAAAACAUCUAAUUGACAGAGAAUGGUAAUUUAGUAUAAUUUUUUCCACAUUGCUGACCCAACUGUGUGCUUUUCAAGGAUUCUGUACCAUAAGUUAUUAAUCCCCAAGAACUGUUUUUUUUUCAAAGCAUAUUCAUCCAGGCUCUGCCAGGCCCAUUGAAUCAGGGGUUCACAUUUAGGGAUCGUCUCCAGUAUUUUGUGAAAUUCCCCUGGCAGCUCUGAAAAGCAUCACUGGCUAAGAGCCUCUGGUCUGACAGCCUUCAUCCAGAGCAGCAGUUCCCAAAUGCUGAUGUGCAUCNAGGACUCUUUGGGAUGAUUAUUUUACCAGUCUUCCAAUGAUAAUAGGACCUGCAGGGAGGGAUCUCUGAAAUAGGCCAUUUUUCUGUUCACAAGUGAUGAAAUUGAAGCUCAGGGUUGAUUUUCUUGAAGACACUCAGGUUCAGGGCUGGGAUCUGAAUCCAGGUUUUCCUACCUUUCCAUCCACUUCCCCUUCAUGGUUCCCUAUGCUGGGGGUUUUCUCUGGCUAAGACCUGAACCCACAUAAAUCUUCUGCUGUCUCACACCCAGCCAAACCACAUAAACAUUUUGCAUCCACUACGCUGAUGCUCGGAGGGGCUGAAAUAGAACUUUGAAAUUCUCCUUCACUUUUAAUUAAAAAAAAGAUUUAGGCCAACCCUGGGUUCCCGGUUCUAUUUAACUGAGACUGCUUUUAACCGUUGCUGUAUUUUUAUCGUUGCAAAUGUGACGCACAGAUCCAUCUUCCUUGCAAUGCUUCUCGGUUUCUGCUCCAUCUGUUGAAGAGAAAACAUUUGCAGAAAUCCUUCGGCUUCUCUCCAAGGGCUGAAACUUCAGUGCUAGCAAGGAAUGCAGUGCAGGAAGUGGGGCUGAGCACUGGUGAAAACCGGAAAUGGCUGAAAUUGUUUUCCAGGAUCUUUUUGAUUUUCAUUUUCCCAAACUAACAGUGUUCAGUGUAUCCAGCCAGGCCCUCAUGUUCCCCAGUGUGUGUGUGGAGUGCACCUACAGUGUAGCUUAGUCUAGAUCCCAUUGUAGGUCUGCACUCUAUACGUACUCCCACCCAUUCCGAGGUUUUUCCACUUUCUCUUUCAAUGGAUUCAAUGGAUUCAUCGUUCUGUCUCAUUUUUUUUCUGUCCCCUAUUCUUGGCAAGCUCCUAUGUUGGGGUUCAAUAAUUAUGAGAACUACAUUUGGUGUGGGAAAGAGCAUUGGAAGACUGGGGUUCAUGUCUUUGCUUUUAUAUAUUAACUUUGCUAAGUCUCUCAAAAAUCUCCAAGUCCAAAUUGCCUGCAAAAGCCCCAGGAGGUGAUGAGGAUUAAAUGGUUUAUUGGAAGCACAAAUGCAUUGCAAAUUGUGAGGUGCUACACUCACGCUCUACAUAUUAGCAAGUCAUUCAUUUGUUAGCUGAUUUUGUUUGCUUGUACAUUUAUAUAUUUGUUUAUUGAUGGAUCAUUUGCUGGAUGAGCACUAUACUGCAGGAACAGUCUUGCUAUAUGAAAUUGAGGAGGAUCAGGAGAAGUUCAUUUCCUCAAAAAGCCCACAGGUAUGACACCUUGAUGUGUUGAUCUGGAGUUAUGGAGCCUGCUGUUUCUUCUUCCUGUGGGGUCUAGGGAUUCCUCAAAGAGGGAAAGGUCUUGAGUUGCAUGUGAAAGAAUGAAGGUUCCCACAUCCAGAAUAUUGACAGUCUACAUGCUGAUGAGAAUGUGGAGCAUCAGGAACUCUCACUCAUUGCUGGUGGAAAGCCAACAUGGUACCAUCAUAACUACAAAAAAUAAGCACCCUCUUACUGUAAGACUCAGCAGCCAUGCUCCUUGAUAUUAUCCAAAGUCAGUGAAGCCUUGCAACCACAUGCAAAACAUCACACAGAUGUUUAUAGCCACUUUAUUCAUAAUUGCCCAAACUUGGAAGCAAUCAAGAUGUCCUUUAACAGGAAUAGGUGAAUGAAUAAGCAAACUUUGGUACAUCUAGAUAAUGGAAUAUUUUAAAUAUAUAUAUAUAUAUAUAUAUAUAUAUAUAUAUAUUUAAUAUAUCAUAUGUAAUAUUGACAUAUAUAUAUUUAUAUGUCAAUAUUACAUAUGAUAAGUGUACACACACACAAACACACAUCAAGCCAGGAAAAUAUUGAGAAAACUUUAGUGCAUAUCCCCAAGUGCAAGAAGUCAAUUCUAAAAGGUUACAUAACACAGAAUUCUAAAUACAUGACAUUCAGGAAGAGGCAAAACUGGAGACAGUAAAUCUCAGUGGUUCUCAGGGGUUAAGAGGGAAGGGAGGAUGAAUAGGUCAAAUGCAGAGAAAUUUUAGGGCUUGAAAUUAUUCCGUAUGAUGCUAUGUUGUUGGGUAUAUGUCAUUAUAUAGUUGUCCAAAUGCAUGGAAUGUAUGUGGAACAGAAGUGAACCUUAAUGUAAAGUUCAGACUCUGGGUGACAAGAAUGUGGGUUUAUCAGUGCAACAAGACUACCACUUGGAUGCAGGAUGAUGAUAAGGGGAAGGUUCUGCAGAUGUGCAGGGGGAGGGGACAUAUGGGAUAUCAUUGUUCCUUUCUUUUAAUUUUGCUGUGAAUCUAAAGCAAUUUUUUACAAAAGUCUUUCAACAAACAAACAAACAAAAAAGGAUAAGGUUUUAUUAGACUUGAGAUGGGGAUAAGGUAGGAAGAACAUUCUAGAGAAGGAGCAGUUUGGGAAAAAAAAUGGCAGAAGGGUCCAAGAGAUUUGAUCAGCUGAAACUAACUGCAGGGAAUCUGGAAAGCAAAGGUAGAGAGGCAGGGAAGCGGGUGGAGAGUGAAAUGUGGGGAAUAAGGAAGUUAAGUGAAAGCAGACAAUGGUUCUCAUUUAGAGGUGGGAGGAAGCCAUUGAUGGAGGUGUCUUCAAGGAAGCAGCAGGCUGACAAUGAUAGCUGCCUUUUACCAAACACUGUCUAUGGCAGACACUGCAUUAACUUAGGUUUACAUUCAUUAUUUCAUUGUGCACUCACACAUUGACCUGUGUACAAGGUACAAAUGGACUGAUGAGGAAACUGAGGUUAAGAGUUGUCAUGACUUGUCCACAUGGAUAGCUGGCCCCAGGUCGGGAGCCAAAGCCUAGUGUCUGCUUGUGGACUCUGCUUUCAAGCUCCUCACCAGCACAUUGGCAUUUGAGGACUCUCUGCAUAGCUCUGGGAGGGAGCUGGUCAUGGGGGGUGAUGCUGAGCCAAUAAGGGAUGGUGGUUAGUCCUGAGGGUAAGAAAUCCCUUAGAACUGUAUAGAAUACAUCAGUCUGGCGGUUGAAUUCCAGGCAUGGCUCUGAAUAUUUGUAUGGGGACAUUUUGGGGCGAGAGGAAGAGCUUUCAAGAAGUACACCUUUGUGGGCAAGCUCCUGUGGCACUGGGGGAGGAGAGAAGCUCUGCAUCCUGCUGGCUAGUAUCCUUCAAUAGACUCAAUGUGUCUUUUGGGGUUCUGCAGAGACACCUACUAUUUCUAAAGAACGUCAUGGAAGCUGCCUUCCUUGGACAUUCACCAGAGACAGAACUCCAAAGGGAAAAGGCCAUAAAUACCCCUCAUAACCUUUAUUUUUUCCUUCUAUAAUGAGAUUUUUUAAAAUAGCAUUUUAAGUUCCUUGAAGGAAAAGCCAUAGAAUCACAGCCUUAUGAGGUCUGAAAUGUCUUUGAGAUUUUGAGCCUCUGUGAAUACCAGUGCCGAGACCCCUCAGUACAACCUCUAUUUCUACAUCCUCUGCCCGUUGGGCUUUUCUUUCAUGUGCAUGCCUGUCUGUGCCACCACCCUUCUUUGGCCAACAUUUGUAUGUUCAUGGCUCUGAAAUGCUGUUCUGAAGUUUGCUGUCAAAAUUUGAAGAACAAACUCUCAUUUUGAGAUUUUUCCCUCUCUAUUAUUAUAAUAUUGGUGGUUAAAAUGUACACUCUCUUACAAAAUGCUAAUAACGGUAAUUGUAAUAUUGUUUAGUUAAAUGCCCUUUCCUGGAACAAGAAAAUGUUGGUAAUUUCAUGUUGGUCCAAAAUAUUAGUUUUACAAAUUGGAUUUGGUCAUGGAGCUGAGAAGGCUGAUGUUGACACUCCAGGACAUACAGUCUCUCAUUCCACAUCUGACUAAAACAUACCCUAUCUUUGCAUAUUCUGUUGUCUUCUAUAAUGUUUUGGUAAUGUCUUGCCUGCAAUGGAUUGUCAUUAAAUGCAUGAAAGUAAGUGAAUCUUCAGGAAACCAAAAAAAAAAAAUAUUAUAUUGAGUGCCUUUUCUAUGUUCUAACCUGCUUCAUGUGGCAUAGCUUGCACAUAAAAUUCAGUCUGGUAUGAAGUUUAUAGUCAAGGCUUUAGAACUGAAUGAAUUUAGUCAUUAAGAAUGCAAGAUCUAGAACCUGCUUGCCUGAGUCAGGCUUCCCCUUUAACUAGCUGUACAUCCUUGAUAGGUUUCUUUAUAAUAUGGUAAAAAAACUUUAGCUUAGCCUGUCUGUAGUGUAACCCUGCUAGCAUUCUUCUGAAGAUUGAUAAGUUCAUUCAGGCAAAGAUCUUAGAGCAAUGCCUGUCACACAAUAAGUUCUCAGCAGAUGUUAACUCUUGAAAGGAAGGCUUGCACGUCAGAGAUGCUGGCAUAAGGAGCCUUGGUUGACUUGGAUCAAAUCUGGUGCAAGUUUCUGCUCUGCCAUUUACUAUUUGAGUAAAUUUGGAAGAUUGAGUUAACCUUCUUAUAUAAAGUCAAAUUCAGUCCAACUGCCAAAAAGACUUGAAAGCUAAUACAUAUAGCAUGGAGAUGGUGGAAAGGCCUCACUGAAGAGGGACCUUAAAGGACACUUAGGGUAUCCCUGUGAUUACGGCAGCAAAAGGGACAGCCAAAGAGGUGAAAUCACCUAUGUGGAAAAGACUUAGGGAAGACUUGUAUCCUGCCGCAGUCUGGCUGCAGCAAAAUAACCCGGGGGUGAUGAGCAACUUGUGUACAUUGAUACAGCAGGAGUGGGAGCCGUUUAUUGUAGGACAGGAGGGGUAUAUAUACAUUCUACACAGCUUAUCUUAAUUAACAUAAACUAGAUACAGCAGUCAACCAAUAAGGAAUCUCCACACUUAAUGGCUCGCUGGCAUUACUUCACAAACCACUCCCUCUGGCAAAAUGCCAGGCGCCAUCCUGACUUGUUUACAGACCCUAACAGUAUCCACCUGCUUUCUUCUUUCAGGAAAGUUCUUUGAGGAAUUAGUAAGAACAUUCUUUUAUUUUGGGAUGAGGGACAUUGGAACUAUUGUAGUGGAUGGGGCAUUGUUUUCAGUAGAGAUACCUGGAAAUAGAGUUUCCCCUGUCCCCAAGAAUCCACUCCCUUAAUGAAGACCUUACCAUAGGGGAGUUGAGGAAAAGAUGAAACCAAAGUUGAUAAAUUGAAUUAGGGGACAUAAUUGUUAGAAUGAAGUUGUUCAGAGUCUGCCAAGUAUACUUAAGCUAGGAUCAGUCUGGAAAGGGUUUCUGCAUGACGCAAAUAGAAUCAGAUGUGUGCGUGUGAAUAUUCAAUAAGACAGGGGUUGCGGGUGCUUCUGGCUCUCUGGAUUUUGCUUGUUGCCAGAGAUUAGGCUGCCACCUGGAUCCUACCUGCAUUCAAGAUGUUGUGUGGAUUCUUGCUGAUUUUCUGAAGUUUUAUUUAUCAUCAUGCAGAGAAGAAAUAAGUGCUGGAAUGUUAACGUUCUGAGAGGGAGCUGAUUGUGGGGUGGGGAAAGAAGUGUGAGGCUCUACUUUUUUUUUUUUUAAUAUGCCCAGAGAAUCUUGAUAAGACAUUGCAGGGUUUGAGUUUAAAAAUAAACCAGGUGUGAGAAGAAGACACUGAAUGGAUAUCCUGUAGCAAAGUAUGGAUAUUUACACAAUUUCAUGGUGGCUGUGGCAUCUGAGGUCAAAUGUGUGAAGUCAGAAGCUGAGAGAGGUGGAGGUGGGUUCUGAAUCUCAGCUCUGGGUAUCAGGCAAGCAAUUCCACCACAGCAUCUUGGAAUACAUCCACACUCACAUGUUCAUCUAUUCUUGAGCAUGCACGGAAAGAGUUCUCUUUUGCUAAAGGCUGUGGUUAAAAUGAGAAAGUGGAUGUGCCUUGGAUCUGGAUGAUUUCAAUCAGUUGAUAAACAUGAGUGAUGCAUUUUGUAUGUGAUUAAGUGCUGGUUAUAUAUAUGUGAACAAGAUGGUAUAGCCUUUCCUUUUAAGGAAUUUACAGUUCAGGAGAAAGAUUAAGAUCAAGCAAAUAGAGUCUAAUGUGAGAAUGCUGAAACAUGUGUGUGAAUACAUUUGGAGAGAAAGUGGGGGGAGGGGAGAUAUUCUAGAUAAUUAUAUUUUGUUGAGCAUUUACUAUGUGCAAGACACUGUAUCAAAACAUGUUGCAAUGCACCAUCUCAAAUAAUUCUUCCUGCCAUCCUCUGCAGCAGGAAGAAUACAGUUAUUAUCCAAAUUUUAAAAUUAGAAAAUCGAUUCAAGUAUGUUAAGUAAGUUGCUUAAGGAAACAAGAAGAAUCUAGGCAGAGUGGGAAUGAAUUGAGGUCUUCUGACUGCACCCCUGUUUCUUUUAGCUUCUCUCCCUUGUACCAUCUCCCCAAGGUGCUAUAGGGGCUCUGAAGGAAAAAAGCAACUCACAUGGUUCUAAUGUGGUAAGAGACGGAGGAGAAAGAAGGCUUCCGCUGAGCACCGCAACUCUGUAAAUGCACCAGGAGGAAAACCUGUGACCCUGAGAACAGUCUAUGCCAAUACACGCAUGUCCAAACGAUCAGGCACUGUUGAGGAAGAAUAUCAGCUCUGAGUAGGUGGGCUGGGAACAGCUAGGGAGCCUGGGACAUCUUCAUCCCUCAGUGUAGCACAGCCUCAAGCAGAGAAUGGCAUCUCACUUUCAGAUUCUGCCGAGGUUCACUUCUCAGGGACUGAGUGAGGGAGGAGUGAUUCACUGACCCGAUUAGCAAACACCCUACAGACAUGGAGAUAAAGAAUGAGGAAGCAGGUAUUAAAUGUAGAAAGAUGGGCUUCCAGAUUGAAGAACUCCUUUGGGGAUCAGCGGUGGCUUUCAAACAGGGUCCCAGCUCUCUGCAGAUAGAGCAAGCAAAAAAGGUUAAAGGUAAAAGCAGGGAACCUGGUCAACGUGAGCGGGUGAGUGGGGAGAGGAGCUGCCCAGUGCCAGGCGAAGGACUGGAGCAGUCGUUAAGUUCAGGGUUUAUGACUUGGAGAACGUGACCCAUAUAGCCAGCUUUCUCUUGCUGAUGUGUUUUUAAUCGGAUGUUCUUCUAAAAUUCACCCUUCGCCGACUCCAUAUCUCAUUCCCUGGAGGCAGCGCGGAGCAAUCUGUUUGCAUCUGCACUUUAUACAGCUGUGAGUCCCUUUGCCGUCACACCUGGUGGGUCACAUCUUGGACACAGCGCAACAGCCAGCAUACCAGCGUGCUGGAUGACCUGGAGGAAGCUCGCUCAGCACCCGGAGCUCACAGUAGCGGAAGCGUUCAGGGCACACUUCCUAGGCUCUGCGCACGCUGCCAACUGCUUUGCGCGUGUUAAUUGAUUUGAUCCAGGCAACGGCCCAGUGUAUUACCACGAUCGCUAUUUCACAGAUACUUAUAAACUGAGGCAAAGAAAAAUAAGGCCACUUGCCAAGGCCGAGUAGUUAAUGACAAAUUUAGGAUUUUUUGGUGCUGGGGAUCCAAUCCGGCCCCUCCCAUGUUGGACAAGCAGAGUACUACGGAGCUACAUCCUCAGUUCCCGAACUGAGAUUUGAAUUGGUGGCUAUCACAGCUCUGGAGCCUUGUGUUUAGCUUCUCGAGUGUGUCGCUGUCUUGAUGCUCUUCAUGGGCUCUCUAACACAGUCGUAGGGAGUGGAAGCCUGGGCCAGGGGGUUAAUAGUACUUCUAUCUUAGAAGCAAAAAUGCAAGUAAUGUCUGGACCUCACCAAUACGAUUGAGUUAAUUUUGUUUCUAAGUCACUGGUGUCCACAGGGGGAGUCUUAUGGGUCUUGUAUCCAGAGGUCUCCCAGGGGUUGGAUAUGUUCAGUUUGGUUUCGCUCCAGGCCAUGAAGAAAAUACAUGUAAGUUUUCUAUUUCAUGGACACAUAAAUAGAGGCUUGGGCAGACACUGUAAUAGUCCUGAGGGAACUGUAGUAGCUGCCAGAUUUGGAGGUCAAACUGAGGCUGACCUGAUUCCAGAGUCAAGACUUUGUGCACCUUGUGUAAGCCAUUCCCUUUCUCUUUGUCUGUUUUAUUCCCCUACCACCCUCCAAAACUAAGACAUUGGAUUAUUAGGUCAGUGUUUCAGAAACACCAAUCUUUCAGGCACCUCCAUAACAAUUUCUGCUCUUUUCAUUCUGUCCACAAUGCUUAAUAUUUUUCUUUGGAUCCAUCUACUUCUUAUUCAAACACACGUACCUCCAUAGGAAACUUCAGAUCGUUACUAUGAAUAUAAAAAUAAGAUAAUAAUUAUAUGGAUAUCCACAGUGGAAACAGAAAGCAUACAAUGAUAUUCUAGUAUAUAUAUUCUAGCUUACAGAUUCUGUUCUGUUCUUGUGGACCCAAAUCCAUGCUGAGUAUAUGUUUGUGUUAAAAAGUAAUAUUUAUAAAUACUGGAGAGAUGCUAGAUAUUUAAUAGAAACACAAUUGGGCUUCCUCCUCAGGAUUGGGAGAGAAUCAAAAGGAUCUCCCUCUUCAUUUUGUCAUUAAAGUUAUAAAAAAAUGGGUCUCCUUUGAGAAGCCGUGUGUCCCCAAUCCAGGGUGGCAGUAGCUCUCAUUUUGUGUGUUGCUGGUGUGGGGAACAUUUGCAUCUUCUCAGUGUUUGCAUUCUAUGUCUCUAAGACUCUUAGGGUCUCUGCGUACUUGGAGAUCCAGUUUGGGAGUACUAGUCUUGAUUGGAUGAGGAGGUGCGAAGUCCGAUUCUAGACUAAAGUGAAAGGAGAGCUAUUGCUUUGCUCUGGCUAUCUUGAAGCAGCUAGAAGGAAGGCAGGCAUUGGGUUCUAUAAAAGACCCAGGGCUGGAAAUCUGUGCUCAGAGCCAUACCAUCCUAUCCAGCAAUUCCAGUUUUUUGCCACUUUGCCUUAGAUGCCCACUGGCUACCUACCCCGUGGGCCUGUACCUAGUUCUUUCUUGCUGGUACCUCCCUUGUUCACUAGGGUGUGAUACCAAUUUAAAAACUGUGUCUAAGCUGGGAACAGUGGAAUGUACUUGGGAGGCUGAGGCAGGACGAUUUCAAGUUCAAGGCCAGCCUCAGCAAUUUAGCAAGGCCCUAAGCAACUUAGCAAGACCCUGUCUGAGAAUUAAAUGAAUAAAUAAAUGGCAUUAAAAAGGGGUGUGUGUGUGGCGCUGGGGAUGUGGCCGGUACUAUGUCCAGUGAGAACGUGCCUUUUGUCCUUUCUGCAGUUCCAAGGAGGAAUGAAUGUGAAGCCAAGUUUCCUCUGUCCCCAUCAGUGCUUGGGAAGUUGGCAUGUUAUCUCCCUUUGCUCAAUAAAUCAGUAAAAUAGGCAAGGGUUAAUUUCUCAUUUUAUACAUCAGAAAAUGAGGUUUGGAGAGUGUCAGUAACUCAAUGAAGUCCCACAGCUUCUGAGACCCAUAGAGUGGGACCCACUCCAAAUCCUGGGCUUGUUUUCUGGUGUUGUGAUGUGCUGAGAUUUGCCUGGUUUGGGGGAAUGUAGGUUCUUGGGCUGGUUUCUGGGUCCUCCCUGCACCAUGGGGCUGGGACACAGUGUCACACCUCUCAGCUCAGCCUUUCUUUGUUCAGUUGUUGGAGUGUGAUGCUAAUGAGACCCUACUCAUGGAUUUUAGCCCCUUGGGGGCCAAUUAACUUCUCUUUACUUCAGCUGCCAGGAACCUCAGAACUAAAUCCAGAUCAAUUAGCUCAUCCCAGGUGCCUGGUAACAUCUAUUCCUUCACUCGUUUUAACUAUUCUUUGUUCCAUUUUUAUUUUUAAUUGUCCUGAUUUAUAUCUUAUUUAACUUUGUAAUAUCACUUUAACUGUGUCUUGGGGGUAGAUAAGGUAUGAAUUCUAAAUAAAUAAGUAAAACCGCUUUAGGGUCAUCUCUGGAGAGGAAGAGCAGCUCCCGAGUCCUCUUUGGGGUGGAGGCUGAGGUUGCCCCUGGGUGAGCGGCUGGGGGAGGUGAAUCCUUCCUGGGACACAUGGGCAUUGCGGGAGAGGGGCAGGGAGAGGGAGUGAGUGGGAGUAGCUGGGCAGAGAAACCAUAUCCACGUGGGUAGGUUAGUGAGUACAGCUUAAAAAGUGGAGCAAGACUAUUCUUAAGAGCUCAUGGGGGAUCAGAACUCAACCAGGAUUCUGGGGCCAUGUGGGAUGUAACCCUGGAGAAGGAUAUUGUCGAGCAAGGUGACACUUGCUGAAAUGUGGUGGGACGGCUUUGAUUGAAUCUUUACCCUAUCAUGAUGAGCUGUGUGACUGUGGGUCAGUUGCCUGACCUUUCUGACCUUGUUUCCAUAUCUAAAAUGGGAGAAAUAAUUCCUGUAGAAAGUUAAAAAGACUGCACGGUUUAGAAGUAGGCAUUUGAUCGGUCAUUCAUUCAUUCCAAAGAUCCCCUCCCUUCCUUCCUUCCUCCCCUCUCCCUGUUUGUGAGCUGGAAGAUUUCUUCUAGGCCAGUCUUCGUUUAUGAAGAGGAUGCCGAGCCCCAAAUCCUGCAGCUGAUUGCCAAGAUGGGGUGACAGGGGAGUAUGAAGGAGCACUCUUCUCCAGUGUCUGUCUCUGCAUCCAGCACAUGGUGAGGGUAUGAAAAGACAAGAGGACGUAAAGACACAGGAAAGGCACUCAGUGGAGUGACUGGUGCAUAAUAAAUGGUCCGUGCAGCUGAGCCGAAUUCAGAGAGGCCUGGUGUAGUUGUGGUGGCAAAAACCAACCCCCCUGUAGUUGAACUGCCAGAAUCGAGUCAGAGCCUUAGAGGUUGGUGUUUUUCAAGACUGCAGCUGGACUGUUCUGGGGAGGCUUCCCUGCACCCCAACACCCUGCCCUGCAUCAUGAAACCACUUUGAAAACCACUGACUCAAUCCAAUACCUUUAAUUCAAAAGUGGUGGAAAUGGGGUCUUAAAAAGAGGAGGCCACUUGCCCAAGGCCGUGCAGCCAGGUGAGGGAGCUAGGAUUAGAAUCCUGCAUCCUAGGUUCCCCAGUACUCUUUCCACUGUAGGACUCUGUUAAGUACCCAUAGGAUGCCAUGGAUGUUUGAAAGGACAAAGAGCAAUUACAUCCCCUCCAAGCUGUAGGGUCUGAGGAAAAGACCCUCAGUGCAAUCAGGAAAAGCUUCCUGGAAGAGGCAGGGCUUAGGUGGGACUCCAACAAUGAGCUCAAGAUGGGGAAAAGGCAGAGAACCUGUUGUGCAUCUCUAAAGACAGCAGGGAGUCUCCCAGUGUGUUGAGAUGAGAGUGACUGCAGGAUCAGCUUUGUCGAAAAAGCAAAACCGGAUGAGGGAAGGUAGGUCAGGUCUAGUUAAAGGAGGGGCUUGGGUUUUAAUCAUGCCAUGAGCUUGUCAGCUUGGGGUCACCAACAGGUGUACCUAUAGGCACAUGAUGAGUUGAAUUUGACACUCAGAGCAAAUGGAUGUAGAAGGCUCAUUUGUUAAUGCUUAACAAUAGAGAGAUUUCAUACACAAAUCUGGACUACUUCCUGGCUACUCACUCCUAAGGGACCCGGUGACCUGGCAGCUUAGAGAACCUCCUUCCUUGUGGAAUCUGCUGUCCUUGUGGACCUGGACGUGAAUCUGCCAUUUGUGGCCAGAUGUCCUUUAUAAGCCCCACACCUGGACACUUCUUUCCUGUUUACAGCUUGGCCAUUGUGGGCUUUCAAGUUUGCAUUCUGUGCAGAAGUAUCGAGGCCUAAAAAUUAGUGGUCAUUGACAUGAUUAAAUCAACGUUUGGGGCUGUUUAUUUGUUCAUCAAACAUUUAUUGAGCAUCUGUUUCCUGCAAGGCUUUAGAAAGGGAAGGAUUGGGCUUGGGAGGUGAAUUGGGAGGCUGGUCAGGUCCGAGGAGAGAGGAUAAAAUCUGUUUAGGGACAGAGCCACCACCACUGAGAUAGAGGUUAUAUCCUUCUCUCUUGGUCCCUUUAAUUAUCCUUUUAAAAGAGAAAGCUGCCUCACCCGUUCCCAUAGAAUCAGGUACCUGUCAUUUGACAUUCUUUCACCUUGUUUCUUUUAUAUUACAGUAAACUGCUGUUAUACAUUAUUAUAUUCAUCUAAGAGGGAUACAUCCUCUUUCCUUCUCAUAUUUUGUCUCCCUUUCUUUUUCUUUCUUUCUGGUUCUCUCAAGUGAACACGUCCCAUCUGGCCCUCAUUCCCCACAAUUGCCCCCUGUGUACUGAUGGACAGUUCUGAACCUCAGAGGGAGGUUGUGUGUCUUCAUGGACCUGCUGAGAGCAGACCGGGAAGAGCCAGGCUGGCUCAGAGAGCUGCCUUCUCCAAUCAACACAGUUGCUUUGUCUCUGUGUCUGCAUUUGACGACAGCAUUCUUGUUUCCAUGCUCCCAGUGCAGUUUCCUCUCCCACCCCUGCAGCCUACCCUCUCCAUCACUUCUCCAGUGCAUUCCCCAGAGCCCCAAAUGUCUCUUCAUCAUUCACAUCUACCGUGCAGUAUGAUUGCUCUCAGAAUAACGAGAAGCUGAAUCUGGAAAGUGGAUUUCACUGGAAAUGGUCCUUUUGCUAAAACAAAGCAAAACAAAACCUUAUAAAAAAAAAUCAAUGUCUCUAGGAAGAGGAGAGGAUGCUUGGAGUCGUAAAAAUAGUUUACAGGAGGAGACACGAAAAUGCGGUCUAUACUCUUGAGUUUCUGCCAUUCACUAGCACUGGGACCCUGAGUAAGCAUGGUUUCAUUAUUUUCAUAAGAUGAAGCAGAUGUAUUUGAUUCUCUUCAAGGACCACUCCACCUAAAAUAUUUUCCUCCUUGAGCAUGAGGAGGAAACCACACCCUGCCAUUUCUGAUGGGAUUUCUUUUCAAUCUAUACCUAUGCAUAGGGGGAUGCCCAUAAGACAUAAUGGAUGUGCAACCAAAAACUCUUACCCAGACGUGUCAGCUUUAGCUAAAACUAUCUCUCUGGAGAGUAAGCAAGCUCAGAGAGACCUGAAGGAAGAUCUUCCUGACUGCAUGAGAUCUGGUGGCCUAGGAAAGCCCUUUCCCUCCCUAUGGAUCAUCAGAAAGAAGAUGAACAGCAAACCAUAGGGUGUUAAGAUUCUGCACUUCCUAAAGAUAGAAGGAAACCUGGGUUGGAUGAACUUUGGCAGCUCCCCACCUUAGGAGAGUGUCGUUAACCUCAUGGAAAGCAGAAUUUAGGUCUAAGAAACCAGUUACCGCAUCCCUAAGCACAUGGCCUGGCACAGUUGUAUGAGUAUCUGCUGAGUAAGUUGAUGUGGGCAAAGUAUUCAAUAAGUACUGUUGAAUGAAAGUCACUGGUAUUUGGUGAUGGAAUGUCAUAGAAUGCCCAAGAGAGAAGAACCUUAGAGAUCAUUUCUAGCCUGUUUUCUACCCAGGCAAAUUGAGGUCUGUGGUUAGGACAAGACUUGAUCCAAUUCGCAUGAUGAAUUAGGGCUCGAGUACCCAGGCCUCAUGAAUUCCAGAAUAGGUGUUUUUUUGUUUUUUUUUUUUUUUUGGUGAACUCUUUUUGCCUCCAACAAUGUAAUUUGGCUCGAGUGGCCUUGGGUUAGGCAUUUCCAGAGGCCCCUCUGGCAUUUGUGUAAAUCUGGAGCAGGCUCAGCUGGUGCCUUCUCUCCUACUCUUGGGCUGGCACUUUCUGUUAGUCUCAGUCAAGAGAACAUUAUAAUCCUUCUCCCUGCUCUCCGGCAGUGCACGGCCACCCCAUCACUCACUCUAACAGACCCUGCUGAGCACCCACACUAUAUCUGGAAGCCAUUUUCUGUUUGGAAGUCAGUGGCGGUCAGCCAACAUUUCAGUAAUAUUUGCUUUCCUAAGGCUUAGACAAAUCAAAUCCAUUCACUUCCUCAGACUCCAUCUCUCUUGUCUGGCACAAUGUCCCCUCAUCCAAGGCGAGCCAAGAUUGAGCAUAGUUUUUUUCUCUCUCUCCUUCUCUUAUAUAAUGUACAAGUUUCUUUUUUUUUCUACCAGUAUAGAAUCAUAGCCGAUAUAAGAUUAAACUUGAAAGAAACAUAAAAAAGAAAAAAACAAGCAACCAACCGACCAAACAAAAAUACACUUAAGUCAGCCUUUCUGGAUAGAUGGGUGCAGACACCAAGUUCCAGAGAUGUGCGGACAUCAGUUGCCGUGAGUCUUGCCUCUACAGAGGUUGUAGGAACAGGGCUGAAAUUCGAGUAUCCUCACCUAGACACAUCACCUUGCCUCUCUGAAACUCAGCUUUCUUAGCUGUGAAGUAAGGGCUCAGUUUCUCAUUGUGCUGGCCACACGGUGUUGUUCAGGAGGAAAGCGGUUGAGUCAAUGUGUCCCCCUGGGUUCUAAGGUGCUAGAUGCACAUCCGCCCCUGCCGUGGGGCAUUAUGAGUCUUGUUCCUUGCGCAGGAGCUUUGAGUAUUUCAAAGUUGUGUUUAUUCUAUAAUGAGCAUUUGGGACAUCCUGGCAAGGAAGCAGGUAUGAUAUUUUGGGGCAAAGGAUCUCUUUCAGGAGCCCUUCCAUUCAUCUAACUGCCUACUGUGUGGCUGUCCCAGCAGGGAAGCCGCCAUGUUCUCUGAUGCAUUUAGAGCGGCCUCUGUCAGGGAGUGUACCGGCUGGAAAUAGACCAGGCAUUUCCUUUGGAGUUUCACAAAAAUGGAUCCUUUGGGUCAAAGGCCCCUUAAUCUGCAAAACACAAGCUGUUUGCCUGACUUGAGGCCUCCACAGACUUCCUAGACUUGAAGGGGCUUUGGUAUGGAAAAUGGAUUGUGUUUUUGAAGAUUAAGGGUCCUUUCAUCCAUAAGAUGCAAUAUAUAUAUAUAUAUAUAUAUAUAUAUAUACACACACACANCUCAGUGCAACCCGCCCCCCCCCCCUUAGCACUAUUCCUUCUGCCCUCCAAACGUGGGCCAGUCAUCCCCACUAAUGCAUUAAAAUCAUGUGCAAGUGAUUUAAGACUCCAGAUUCUGGAGCUUCAUCUCCAGAAUUUCUGGUGAAGUCUGGAGGAGCUGGUGCAUUUCCCAAGCAGAGACUGCUGGGGCUCCACAAGCUAUGUUCCCAUAAAGUCCCUGAGGGCCAAAGACCUCAGUCACUAGCUGACAGCAUAGUGCAAGUGGACAGUCUAGGCUUUGGAUAGACCUGGCAUCAGAUUUCAACUCUGAUUCUUAAGAUUCAUGGGGUUACUUUGACUAAGUUACUUAACUUUACUGCUCUCAGUUUCCAUAUCCCACAAAAUGGGAAUAAUAAUACUACGUAGUGUGUCUGUGAGCUACACCACAAACUUGCUGUAUAGCAACCUUUCCUCCCAGCUCAGGCAAGUCAGUGCCUUUAAGAACCAGUAUGCAUCAUAGGUCAUGCAUUGGUGAGUCAGCUGGGGACCACCCCAUCUAACCCAGUCUCACUUAUCUAGGCUUACUGCCCCUGCUCUACAGUUCAGUGUGUGUGUAGGGGGUCUGCUCUAUGCUUAGCCUAAGGCAUUUUAAAUGAACAGUCUGCUCCACAUGUCCUUCAGCCUCUUUCAGAAACACUAGACACAUCCUUCUUCUGGCAAAGGCAGAAGUACAGAAGUUAAAUGGAAGCCCACAGGGUCUCUGGAGGUGCAGAGCUAGCCCACCAUCACUCCUGUCUCACCCUAAUGACUAGAACACAUAAUGAGGAAACUCAAGGAAAGGGGAGUGGGCUCUGCCUGCUUAGUAGAAGAGCUAUAAAAUGACAUGACAAAGUGCCUGAUUAUAAGAAGGGGUGAUAAUUUGAGGCAUUAAAUAACCUGCCACCACCAUCCCACAGUGGAGAUCAAUUGAAGUAAAGUUUGUAAAUACCUUGACUCAGCUCCUCUCAUUCACUAAGUGUUCAUAAAUUAUUUUAAUCACUAUCAUUAGUAUAGCAAGGACUCAAAAAUGGUGGCAAGAACAAUUAAAUCCUGAGCUCCUGAAUCCAGCAGCACAGAUGCUCAGGGAGGUGCUCUCGUGUUCUCAGAAUGACACAGAUGGGAUAGUUGGGCCCUUGGAAAGCAGAUGGUGCAAUGUUUUUUUUUUUUUUUUUUAAUCUUGGAUUUGAAGAGCAACAGGAAAAACCCUAGUUCUAGCUCAUCACGAUCUAUGACAUGUCACUAGGUGUGGUGGUGCAUGCCUGUAAUCCUAGUGACUGAGGAGGCUGAGGCAGGAGGAUUGUAAGUUUGUGGUCAGCCUUUGCUACUUAGAGAGACUGUUUCUCAGAAAAAUAAUUAAAAGGGCUGGGGAUGUAGCUCCAUGAUAGAGUGGAAUUCAAGCCCCAGUCUUCAGUCCUGCAAAAAUUAAUUAAUUAGUUUAUAUAUAUAUAUAUAUAUAUAUAUAUAUAUAUAUAUAUAUAUAUUUAUUUAUUUCCAGGUGUGUGUGUGUAUGUGUAUGUGUAUGUGAGUGUGUGCAUGUGUGUUUGUGUGUGCAUCUCCUUCCGGAGCUGGGAUAGUGUAAAAUGCAUAGCAUUCACCUAGAGAUUUUACUAAAAGUUCAGGAUUCCAUUCCAUUUUAUUAGAAAUUGUAAUUCAGUCAAGUUUGGUGAAGUAUCCCAAAGGAUGAACAUGUGUUAAGCAUCCCUGGUGAUCAGGACCAAGAUGGUCUGUGACUUAUUCUUCAAAACUUGAGUUAAUACAAACAGGAAGGAAAUAGUGAAUUCCUACAUUCUCAUAUUAAUAGGACUGGAGACCUAGUGGAAAAUGCUAGCUCUGCAAUAUGUAGGGGAUUAGAGAGGCCCUGGAAAAGGACAGUGUCAAUAUAAGAAGACAGAUGUGGUCAUGUAUCAAGGAACACUCAUGGCAGCAGAAACCAUAACCAAACCAGAACCAUAGGAAGAGUCAAUUACAUAAUAUUAGACUGUAGCAGUAGAUUUCACACAUGUACCACACAUGAAUGCAGAUAUGUGUUGAGAAAUUCCUAUUAUCUGUUGGCUUAUAUUAAUAAACAUAAACCUAAAGAUGCAGGGAUGAACUAGAACCCAAGCCCUGCUCUUAGGAUGCUUCUUACCAUCCAGUGGCAGAAACAGAAAUGUCAACCAUGGAAUUGGUCAGAAGUAUAAUUAGAGGCACGGGCAAGUUUCAACCAACUCCCAGUGAUGGAAGUGUCCACUCCUACUUGUAUUUAUUCCCAUCCAGAAAGGCCUUCAAAGGAGAAGACACUGGAGAUGCAUUUCCAAGGGAGAGUCAGAACCUGCUCUUUAUUUAGAUAUAUGAAGGAAUUUUAGGGAAUUUGUGAAAACAUCACAGUAAGAUGUUCAGCAUGCUGGAGGGAAGAGCAUAAGGAGAGUGGGGCGCAAGUGGCAAGAUGAUUCUGGGAUGUAGGCAGGGUAGAAGUGGAAUUCCUGUUAAGGAGUUUGGACUCUAUCCUGCAGGCAACAGAGAGGUAAAGACCAGAGUGAUCAGGGAAGUGAAAUAGCUCUGGUAUAGCUAAAGGCAGAGAAGGAAUAUGGUUAACACUUCUAGUGCUUUUUCAUAUCCUGAGACUUAUAGAAAGGGUAGGAAAAACUAGCACCUUCUUUAAUAUGUUUACUUCCCACACUGAUGGAACCUAGCUGUGUUCCUGUGUUGGAAGUAAGUUGUUCUUCGUCAAUAUGCAGAAUGGAUGGGACAGUAUGAGACUUAAAUACCAUCUGGGGCCUACUGUGAGAGGCUAGAUCCAAAUCUACUUUUCAUUAUGAAAUAUGGUCAAAGAAUCAUUCACUAAUGAUGGUAAUACAUGUCCAGGAACAAGACUACCUGCAUUUGGAUUCUGCUACUGCCUCACAUUAGCUGUGAGACCAUUUGUGCAUUUCUAAGCCUUCCUGAUUUUAGUUUCCUUGCCUAUUAAACAGGACUGAUGAUCAUCCUGCUUGAGAUGCUUGUUUGGAGGGUUAAGUAAGUUGUGCAUGUUUUAUUAAAACAGUUUACUGAGAUGUCAUCUCUCUGACUUUAUUUUCUCAUCUCUGGAGUGAGAGUUAUAAAUCCCUGCCCUGUGUAUGUUAAAUGUGAUGUUGCGAUCAGAUGGAAACUCAAUUCUGUUGCAGUGUGAAGUUUUGCUGGAAUGCAAGGAUGGUGUAAGGAGUGCUAGAGGGAGUGGGAGGAGGCAGAGCACUCACAACCUCCAAAUUACAAACAUUAAAAAAAUCUAUGAUUGCUGAUUUAGGCAUAUCUAGUACCUGCUUCAGAUGUGUUCCCUGACUUCUUUCUUGAAUUUCAUGUUUGUCAUGAGCAAGAAUCAGCCAUAGGUGUCCUUUUAGAUCAUCAUUUAGCAGGGAUGCUAUAAAAGGAUGAAGCCAUUGCACAAGAACUAGCAGAACCUAUGGCUCUACAGGAACAUUUCAGGUUAUUCAUUAAUCACCUGCUGGAAACAUCAGAGCAAGGGACAGAACUUUUUGAUAGAUAAAUAUUGAAAUUAUUAAUAAUUAUUAAUAAGUACAAGUUUCCAAUUAUUCAAUUGGAAACUUGUACUUAUUCCACUUAAUAUUAGCAUUAGAUUAACCACAGGGAAAAAAUCAGUUGUUAACUCACAAGAGCAUUCUUAUUUUUUUAUUGAGCAAUUAUUGAGCACCUAUAUAGAACUAGUUCCUACAUUUGACAUAACUUUCUGCUUUCAAUCUCUUUGGUGUGCCUCUGUGGGGAAAGCACCUUUUCUGACACAUCUCUGUAUCCCAUGAAGCCUCUCUGCCUUACUAAUUUUCACAUAAUAGGUGGGUUCUCAUGAUCCCGUGCUUUUGCUCACCUUGGUCCUGUGACCUGGAAUGCAUUCUCUGACAUGCUUUUAUUAAUUUUUUCAACUUGGUAAGUCCCUACUUGAACUAGUAAAGACCAAAUCAAAUCUCAGCUCUCCUGAGAAGUCUUAAACUCACUCUGAGUUACUUUUUUCUUUAUUUUCAACACUUAUUCAGGUAUCCAAUAAAACCCAAUCAAUUGUUCUGCAAUUUGAACUUUACAGGUUUAUCUUCCUGUGGCUCCCUAUAGCCAUAAACAGUUUCUUCUCUUUGCCUACCCAGUAGCUUGUCCAAAAUUUGACAUUCCACCACAACUCUGUGAAGACCUCACACAGCUCUUUCAAUCAGUACUAAUUAGCUUUCUGUCCCCAUUCUUUAUUUUCUUCUUUAACUCUGGGUUGGACCUGUGUGUUUAAAAAUUUAUUAAAGCCUCUCUAUAUGGAAAAAAAAAUCUUCCACUGAUUAUUGGUUUCCCUUUCUGGUAGGGAGAAAGGAGAGGUGUUGGCUACCAUUCUUGUGUGCUUUCCUUCUUAGCCAGGUGCUGGGCACUCUCUGUCUCCAUUCAUUCAUGUCCCAUUCAUGCUUCAGUCUCUUCAAAGGAAUCUUCAGUCCUUGUCAAGCUGCUGAAAACUGUCCACCCCUAUUUUGUCAAGUGCAAUAGGCAUUUGAGUCUUUCUCUUGUACCACUCUGCAGCUUUUGAAACUUGAGACCCUUCUCUCCUUAAACAUCGCUGUUUCUCCUCACUUUCGUAGAGUUAUCUUCUCAGUCUAUUCAUGGGAUGAUUUGCCUCUUCAUGCUGCCUAAAUAUGAGCAUUGCUUAUUGUUUGUUCCCAUUACUCUGGACUCACCUGUGUCCUUUGAGUGAUCUCAUCUGCUCUGAGAAAUCUAACCACUGUCCGUCCAUAGUGUGCUUUACAAAUCUCUGUCUCUAGUUCUGGCCUCUUUUUCAUUUGACUUAAGGUUCAAUCGCCUUCUGGAAAUCCUGCCUUGAAUAUUCUGCAGACACCACAAACUCAACAGAUCCAAGAGAAUACUUUGUUUUUGUUCACUCUAAAUCCAUCUCUUUUUCUUUAUUGUUUAUUACCAUGACUGUCAUUAUGAAUCUAGUCACCAAACCAGAGCCAGGAGUCAUAGUAGACACCUUUCUUUCCUCACCUAGCCAUCAAAUCCUACUAAUUUUGCCCCUCUACAAUUUUUUACCUUCUAUCUCUCAAAUAUAGAAUAGCUUGUAGAGACCACAUUUAACCUGAUCUAUUAGUUGGCCCCUUUAUUUUCUCCUUUUCCCUCUUUAAAUCUCUUCACUCCUCCUUCCAGAUGGAGUAACUCAUCUAUGUACAACUCUAGUGCACAACUUUUCUGUCUCAAGGUCUUCUGUGGCUCCCUAUAAUCCCAUGGGGGUUAUCCUAGCUGUUGGUUUGUAGAGUUCAUUAAUUGAAUCAGUAUAGAUUCAGUAUCUACCAUAUGAUUGGUUCCAGAUACUGGACAUAGAUAGAAGGAAUCUCUUUGUUCAAGAAAUAUUAUGUAGAGAUAUGAUUAUAAAACAAGCUACCCCAUUUAUCUCUUUAUUUUUUGCUAGUCUCUGCUGAAAAAUUUUAAUUGUCAUAACUCUGAAGUGUUUAUAGGUCUUAUAUUCAUAGCACCCUCCUUCAUUUUUCUCUUGUGUUCCCUAGCCUGGGAUUCAGGGUCCAUUUUCCUUCCUUCCUUCCUUCCUUCCUUCCUUCCUUCCUUCCUUCCUUCCCCACCCCCUCUCGUUUUUUUCUUCUCAAAUACUUCUUUGCCUCCUAAGACCUCACCUGAAUGCAAUCCCCAAGAAGUAUUGCCAGAGACCCUGGUUUGAGGCUUCAUGCUUCACAGAUCUCUGGAUGUACUGUCUUUGCCCUGCAAUUACAUUAUAUUGAUAUCACCUGUUUCUGUGAGAGCCAAUUAAAAUAGUAUAAACACAAGACUGAGAGCCAAUUAAAAUAGUAUAAACACAAUAGAUAAUUGUUAAAUUUUACUAAACUGGCCCAGAAUAAACACUCCAAAAUGUUUAUUUCACUCUCCCUUUGAAAGAUUUCCUGCAGAGACUGCUGAUAAUCUGGGGAGAAAACUCAAAAGGAAGAAAUUUAGGUCUUCACAUUUCUAAAAGUGGCUCAAAUGAAAUAUUUAUGAAGAAAAAGAUGCUACAUAUAACUUAUGCUUUUAGUGUUAAUUUUAAAAGUAAUACUUGAGAUCAUGAAAUUAAGUAUUCUGUAUAUAUCCAUUUUUAUUCAGAUUUCCAUGACUUUCUCUAGAUUUGAUAUAUCCAGAAAUUUCAUACCUCAAGUUGACUUAUUGGUCAUUCUCUUCAUUAGCAUCUUUAUAGUAGAUUUGUGACACUUCAUGAUUGUCAAGGUAAGAAGACUACAGGCAGGGAUGUGUGUUUUUGUUGCUUAGUAUUUAAAUUCCUGAGUCAUAGAAUUGGCUUGGGUUGAAGUUAAAUUCUGCUAAUUUUAGAUACUGUGACACUGGAAAAAUAACUAUAUUUUUAAAAAGAGCCUCAGUUUUAUCAUCUGCAAAAGAGAAAUAAUGCUAUUUAUCCCAAAGGAUUUUUCUGUGGAUUUAAUAGCCUGGGGCAUGAGGAGAGCCAGGUAUGGUAUCCAGCAAGUAGUCUAUGCUCAGUGGUCUUUCACCCUCACGAAGGCAUCUAAAAUACAACGUGAGUCCUGACUCAUCUAAGAUGGGAAAUGGGGGUGGACAUUUCAAGGACAGGGAAUGUAAGCAAAUACACUGAGGCAUGUUCCAUCAGUGAAGUCCCAGAGAGAAUCUGGAGAACUGGGUGAGUUGAGAAUAGGAUGUGGAAGAAUGUGAGUAGGAAGUGGAUGUCUCUUCUGAAUAUAAGACCUAGGGAUAAGCAAUCAGAGCGAAUGAUUGGGCCUGUUUAGAUCGGGCAGUCCUGAAGCACAUCUGUAUUUAGAAAGAUGACUGGCAACAGGUGCUCAGGAUAGAAGAGGUAGAGAGGAUGCAGGCCCAUGCGAAGAUGAUUGUGAUAGCUCAGGUGAUAGUCGUUUUGCAAAAUAAGGACACAUGUCAAGAGAAGAUGGACAUGAUAAUUCAGAUUUGUCAAAAUAAGAAAACUACAGGCAGAGAAGAUGUGGUUUUGUUGUUUAGUGUGUUAAAGUCCUGAGUUACAGAACUUAGAAUUGGCUUAGGUUGAAGUUUAAAGAGACGUUUCCAUUAGAAAAGACACAUUUCUGUGGUAAAGUGUGUUUAUUGGAAGGAAGGAUACAUGUAGGAUCAGUUUGAGGUUUACAGAGAAUAUAGGAGAAGGAAAUUAUUAGCAAAGAAAAAAGAUAUCUAUGAAAACAAAGUAAACUGACGGGUUGGGAAGAUGAUGAUGAUGUUGAUAGAGCGAAGGAGGAAGUUAGGGUAAAUCCCAGCUUCUCACAGGGGCCUGAUGUGGGAGAUCCUGUGGUUCAUUUGGAUGAGGAAUACUGGGAGAAGACAAAGCAAGAGGGGGUGAUGAUGGGUUUAGUUUGGGUUAUUUUGAGUUCCAGAAGCCUGUGGGAUUUCCUAGAGAUGUUGAUGAUGUGGUUAAAAUUCAUAAUACAGAAUGUACAAAGUGUAAUGAACUCUCAUUCCACUGGUCUUAACAAUCAGUAAGUUUUUGUCUGUAUAUCUUUUUAAGUGUGUGUGAUAUAAGUUAUUUACACAUAUUACCUUCACUAGCUAAUAUGGCAGUUCCUCAAUGCUCAGUGUCCAGUUACAGGAAAGGUCAGCAUUAGUAACAGUAAAUGUAAAUCUGUGUUUUCCUCAGUCGUUUUGAUCAUCUUGAAUCAUUCUGACCAACACAUGGUAAAUCUUAUUAGAUCUGACUAUUUUGAUUUAGCAUUGCAGUGUGGCUGUCUCUCUGCUAUUUUCUUGCUCAUGUUGCCUUGAAUUAGUAUCAUUAUUGUCAAUUCAUAGCUCUGUUGGCAGAGAUCUUUUUAAAUUUAACUUUAUUUAUUUGGUACUAAAGAUUUAGCCCAAGGGUAUUCUACCACUGAGCUAGAUCACCAGCUCUUUAUAUUUUGUUUGUUUAUUUAUUUGUUUUGUUUUGAGACAGAGCCUCACUAAAUUCCUGAGGCUGACCUCCAACUUGCCAUACUCCUGUCUUAGCCUCCCAGUUUGCUGGGAUUACAGGCAUGCAACAUCAUGCCCAACUGACAGGGAUCUUUUAGUCACUUGCCUAGUUUGUGACAGCUAGUUUGGUUAAAAUCAAAUGUGUUACUAAAGUGCAUGUCACUGGGCACAGGUAAACAUCAAGGUGUCACAAUACCCUGGAAGUGAAAUAAAGAUGGAACCCAGCCUCUCCUUUCUGGGGGCUCCCCUUCUGUACUCUAGUACCAUUGAUGAGUUGGUACUGAUAUUUGUGCUGAGUCUUAUACCUAGCUAAUAAACCAGGAAUCCUAAUAUUUUUUCUUGCCUUAUAUGCCUUAAAAAGUAAAUUGUAAUUGAAUUUAAUUGGGGUUUUACACUGAGUUGUACUCUGAGUGUUUUUGUGAAAUCUUUACUUUAGUUAAAUAGGAUUCAUGGGGUAAGAUUGGAAAACAAAAAUAACAACAAAAUCCACUUGAAUCUUGUCUCCCACUACUUAAACCUCUUCUUCCAGGUUCCUCCUGAUAUUUGGUUGAAAGUAUCAUUUUUAAAGAACCCUUUCAAAUUAUUUCUGUUCACCUCUGUUUCCCAUAGAGCUGUCAAUGUCCAAUUGAGUACAUGAUGACAAAUAAAUCAUUUGAAGUGGAAACUUCACUCUUUCUCGUGAUUCUCCUUUUUCUCCUGUUAUGGGGUUACCAUUAUCUCUUCCAUCUUCCUAAAUUUUGAUUUCCAACUUCAGGGUUUGGCGGAAAUGGAGAGGCGGGGAGGUGGGAAGGCUCUUCCUGGAUAACCCUUUUUGCAGAGACAUUAGUGCCUGGCAGUUCGGCAGGUGUUUAGUGCUGACCUUUUCUUACCUGCAGCAUUUUUGAGUUAUCUUUGAACACCACUUCUGGAAACCUCUGACUAGUGAUUCCUCUGAUACAGGAAAAUAUAUCUCUUUUCAGCUGCUUACCUACUCCUCAGCCUUUAGGCCCUUGGGAAACAGCAGGACGACUCCAGUUCCUUUUACGGGGAUCUGGGCAGCCUGGCCCAGCUCUCUCCUGCAUGUUGCCCGUCUCUGUUCCAUGGCAAGGGGAGCCACAUUCUCACCCAGGAGUUAGGCAGUGUCUUCCCAAAUUGCAGUCCCUUCUCUGCUUCCAGGUUGCAGCCCGUGUCUCUUCAGGUGUCUCUUCUUAGCAUUCUUUGUGUGGUUUUCGAGUGUAAGUGAGGCGACCACCUGCCAUGCUUUCCUAAGUUCCAGGGAACAGGACCGUGUUGUUUAAGUGGUCUCCUGGAAACGUGAGGCGGGAGACUUCGACCCCUUCCUCACAUCCUGAGGAGUCUAGGGGUGCUAGGGAUGACUCAGCAAUGCCACCAGAUUCCACUCACACUCCAUUUCUGGCACCAAGGCCUUACCUUUUUAUGCUGUGAUAUGAGUGUUAAGAGUCCCCCAAAGUGCACUGAGGCUGUUUGUGUUGUAAGUCUAACAUGAUGGUCACAUAGCUCUCCCUGCAAUAGGGUUGUUUUUGUAGUUUUGGACUUCAGCGGAAACCCAGCUAGUACACCCUAUGAAUCCUUACCUGAACCCCACACAGUGACCAUUGUCCUGUUAUUGCCCACAUUUUACAGAUAAGGAAACUGAGGCAUGGGAGGGGGCGGUUAUCCACAUGCCCAAGCUCUCUUAGCUUGGAAUGUCUGCAUCUUGGUAAGAAGUGUUUGGGAGUAGAGGCCUCAGAGAGGCCACCUGAUUGGCUCAGGUUCUCUAGGCAGGUGCUGCGGGCUGCCCUUAGGUGUAGCAUUAGCUCAGUUCCUCAAGGACCCUGGGGAAGUAGAAGGAAAAGCCAUUCUCUUCUACCCUCUGGCCCUGAAUGGGGGCCAUGGCCCAGCAAUCCAUGCCGAAACCUCCAGAGGAUGAGCUUGGUACAGGCUGCUGGAAGGCCAUUCUCUCUCAUCUCUUUCUCCUGAGUGUGUGCCUCGGAUGUAAAUAUUUUACAAUGGCAACAAUUAGAAAUGUGCUCUGUGUGGGAUGAACCAGUUUCCUCAAUGACACCGCAGGCUUAUAUAUAGCACAGUUCAGCCGAGUGCCUCACGUGUGCGCCCUGCUACAGCCUGUGACAGCGGCUCUGUGGACCAGAGCAUCGCACAGCAGCGGGUUUGUGACUCACCAAAGGUCACAGGGGGUCAAGGGCAGUACUUGGAAUAGAACUGGCCAUGUGUUCCCGGGCUCUGAACUCGAGCGGCAGGAAAUUCCCUUUGUGAAUCUUUUGGAAGAACAACAGAGCCAAAUGCAUGGUGGAAAAUAUCCAGGGUUGUCUCUACAAUGUGCAGGUUAGGAAAUUUGGCCCUGGAAUGUAAGAGUUUUUAUUUAUAAUAUAUUUAGUGUUUGGUUAUUGAUUUCAGAAGCAGAAUGCAAGUGACCAGUGUUAAAGACAAAUAUAUAUGAUUUCCUUUUUUUCCCAAUGUUGAUAGAAAUGUGGAGAUAGAUGAGUGACCUUCCCAAAUGGGGUUGUAGAGCACAAGUGUUCAUCACUGUCCUCCAAUGCCCAAGAUAAAUGGAAGAGGAGCCGCAUGAGUCAUUUUAAAGUUUCUAGCAACCACAUGAAAAAAGAGAUGGGAAUAAUUCAUUUAAAUAUCUCUUAUCUAAUCUGAUAUAUCAAAACUAAUAUUUCAGCCUGUAAUCAAAAUAAGCAUUAGGAAGACAUUUUACUUUGUGCUAGUUCCACUAAGUCUUUGAAAUUCUGUGGAUGUGUAUUUUGUACUUAGAGCCCAUCCAUUUGAACUGGCUGCAGUUAGCAUCCUUGUGAACCAUAUGUGGCCUGUUGCUCCAAAACUCCAAUUCUAGCUGCCAUUUGCUAUCAUUGUGGCAUUGAACCAGUUCCUGAACCUCAGUUUCCCCUCUCCUCCAAGUGUAAAUUGGGGACAAGAAUGACUUCCUCUCAUGAAAUUGUCAUAAGGGAACAUUAGCAACGGGUGUGAUCCCUGUUGCAUAGCAAAUACUCAUUUAAUGCAUAAUUUCUUCCUUAAAAUGACUUUUGUGGCACCUGAACUCCCUGUGGAAGAAUGGACUGAAACCUCGCUGCUUCUGACUGUAUCUGAACAGGAACCUAUUCUGGUCUCUUUUUCCCUUCCUUCCACGGACAUUUCUUUGUCCCUGAGGCAUCUGUAUCACUUAUUCCUUCACCUUCUUCAUAUCUCUGCUCAGAAGUUCCUGUAUCAGAGAUGCCUUUCUUGAACACUCUGCAUAGGAAACCAUACUCUCUCUCCCAGCCCCUGUGAUCUGCUCCAAAUAUGUCGAGCAUACUCCUUACCACCUGUUGCCCCAGUGGAAAAUCGUAUCCUCCCAGAGCGCUGGGUUAAAAACAAUUUCUCUGACCUCUAUCCCUCUAUUGGACUUUAUUCCUUUCUUGUAGUAUUUAUGGAGAACAUUUUAUCUUAGAAUCACUCAUGAGCGUGGCUUUCCCAAGGACAAGACCUAAUUUCACCUGGACAUUGGGGUGGGGAAUCCAAUUACCAUGGUACAGAAAUUUAAUGAGAUACACACAGGUUAAAAUCCUGCAUCUAACACUGAGGAGUUGUGAGCUUGGGAAUGUUAUUCAGUGCUUAUUUGUUACAAGAUGGAACAGCUGUACCACCUUGUGAAACACACCUUUCUUAACAUCUGCUUCUCUUUGGAUUCUUAGGCUAUUACUAAGAAAACACACAUUUUUAAAGCCAAGCACACAAUAUAUGCAAAACAUCAGUCAUGUGACUCUUAUAUGAUCCCAAGUCUCCAUGACAUUUAGUGCUAACAUGGUCUUGUUUAUAGAACAGGGGCCACAUUGCCUAUCAUCAUAUCUCAUACAAAAACAUUUAGGUAACAAACAUACUAGUCUUUGUUCUAGUUCAACAAAAUAUUCCUUUUUAUUAAGAUGUUCUUUAUAGAAAACCUCAUUUUUAUUUUCAGUGCUCUGUGAAUCACCAUGACUUUCUAAGUCAAUAGAGAUAUUCUCGACUUCUUCCAUGUAAUACUCAUCUAUACCUAAUAAAAGGUAGAGGUAUCACAGACUCCCAAAAUGAAUCAGACACAGCCUCACACAUCUACUGCACUGCCAACAUUAAGUGGCAGAAUGAGAGUCCUUAACGAGUAAUUAGAAGACAGGUGUCCUGAUUCUCCACCCAGGCCAUGGUCUGUAUAAAGGGACUGGAUUUGAUCAGAGUUCCUCAACUUUUACAUGAUCGACAUGUUGGUUCCAGAAUCCUUUGUUGCAGGGGUCUGUCCUGAGCACUGUAAGACGUCUGGCAGCAUCCCUGGCUUAUAUUCACCAGACGUCAGCAGCAUCCCCUUAAUGACAAUUAAAGAUGUCCCCUGGGGGAAAAAUGGUCCCCACUUGGAAAGCACUGGGCUGGGGCUUUUAAAUCUUAGCUAAUUCUAGGACUAUGGGUGAAGCUUCACUCUCUUAUGUACAUACAUGUGCAUGAACACACACACACACACACACACACACACACAUGCACAUCCACACCACGUUCCAGGAACAACCUUGUUCCUGUCCCACUUUUGAUAGCUGCGGUGUUCUCCAUCCUGUUUCCUCGCCAUAAACACUCAGCAUUCUCUCCAGGCUCCCACCCUCACCCCUCACAGCAGAAGCUAUGGAGAAGGGCUGAAGGGGUGCCGUGCUGCGAUUUCAGCGUACUGUAGCUCCUCACCACAGGGAACUCUGAACGGUCGCCUCCACCCCCUGUUUGCCACUCCCGUGGGCUAUGGCAGACAGUCUUGGCAGCUGUGGCUGUUACAGUUCUGAGCUCAACAUGGAAGCCUUUGUUUUAGGCUCUGAACGAAACUUGAGGCCACAGCUUUUUCCAGCCCACUCCUCUGCACACGUGCUUCUCUCCUCUGCCCUGACAGCUGGGGCUUGCUGCGACAAGUGGAUUUUUGUGGCAACUCGUGAUAAAAUGGUGCAUUUGUGCAAUACUGGGAAAUAUUCAGUUGGGCAGGAAAUCUCUGUCUCUCUCUUUUUGAUUUUUUUUCUUUGUUUAGCUUUAUUUUCCUCCCAUAGUCAGCUGGAAGAGUAAAUAAAUAAGGUUUGCUGUUUAAUCGUGUGUGGAGAUGGUUCUGCAGUUGACAAAAUGUUUGUGUCCUCAUUAUAUUUUUACAUGGUAGUCAUAAACAUCCAAGAUGGAGAGAGGGGAUGUGACUGUUCACAGCAACAUGGCUAGUCAAGAGCAGAAACAGUUUUCAAAGGUUCUUGCUAGUUAAAAUCUCACAGCCCAAUGAACAAGACACAGAGACAACGAAGUAUCAUAUGAGGUGAUAAGUGCUGAUGCACAGUUACAGGAAAGAGUAGAGCGAGUAGAGCUGAGUUUCAGGAAUAACACUUUUAGAAGGAAUUGAAAAAAAGUAACGACCACUGAAAAUCUGACCUUAAGUGGUUACUAAAGGAUUUGGGUCCCCAAACUAUGGGACCACUGUGAUCAACAUUCCCUAGCAGAGAAUAGAUUAACAUUGGGAUUAGCAUUCGUCAUCAUCGUUAUCCUCCUUACCAUUCAUGCCAUUUUUUGAGCAUUUAUUAUAUUCCAGGCUCUUGAAGGGGCACAUUACAUAAAUUAUUUCAUUUGAUUGUUAUAUUAGUCCUGUAUAUAGGUGUUAUUGUUAGCGACAUUUUACAGAUGACGAAAAUAAGCGAAGUUAUCUUGCCUAAAACCAUACCACUGAUAGUUGGUGCAAGGUAGAUGCAAAGCCUUUCAAUAUGGAGUAGGAUGAGCUCUCUUAGAAUCAGCAGAAUGAGAGGUACCAACAGUACAGCGUUAAGCUAGUGAGGAGAUGAAGCUAGUGAUGGGAAGAUAAAGAGUAAGGCUGGUGAAUUUUCCAAAGGCGAGGCAUGCCUUUGUGGUCUGUGUGAUUUCCACGAGGAACCUUCCCCUAAGCUUUCUGUUGGACUCAAGCAUUUCUCCAAUGCAUUCCCACACUUUGCCCCCAUACCACCCAGUAAGACUACUGGUGUGCAAGACCCCACCUAACCCCUCCUCCUUUAGUUUCCCCUCCAAAUGCCCUCUGAAUGCUGGGAACACUGAGGCUUACAGGCACCAUGAGUUCUUUGAUUCCAAGUUUCCUUGGAGUCUGGGAGACACUAGACUGAGCUGUAUAGAAGCUACCCCAACAAGCUCCAGAAACUCAUCUCCAAGGUAUCCAGCCCAGAUAGGCAUGAGGAUAACCCACCAUGAGACUUGGUGCAUACAUCUGAUCAUGCAAAAGCAAAGCACUCAUCUGUGUGUAUACGUCUGUGUGAGAGGAGAGGAGAAAGGAACUCUUGUUUAUUGAGUCUCCGUGAUAGGCACAGCAGGUUGUGAAGAUGGAGGUUGAGACAGAAGCUCAGGUUCUGUGUCUGUGUCUCUUAUCGGGAGUAGGAGACUUUGUUCCUGCAUUAAUUCCUUUCACUCACUCUUUCAGCACAUCCUCAGUGUGACACAUGAGGACAGUGCAUUCCUAAGAGAAUAAGGGGUUUACAACAUGUGAACGGCCAAACAAAGCAGGGCUGGGAGCCCAGAUCUCCAUAGAGUGUAUGGCUUUAGGCACAAACCAUACUGACCUGCGUAAACUUUAAUGCAUUCUGCUAAUGGAAGGGAUCAUCGUGAAGAUGUGUUAACUUUUUUCUUCUCUCUUGUCUUCCCCCGCCUUUCCUCUCCUCCUCCUCCGCUUCUUCCCUCCUUUCUCUCCUUUUGAUUUUGUUCUCUACAGGACUCCAGAGAAUGGAGCAAGAAUGAGAGGAAAAAGGCCGGCAGAAAAGCAUGAACUGGAGGUUUGUUGAGCUCCUCUACUUCCUGUUUGUAUGGGGCCGUAUCUCAGUGCAGCCCUCCCACCAGGAACCAGCUGGGACAGACCAACAUGUCUCCAAGGAAUUUGAUUGGCUUAUUUCAGACAGGGGGCCUUUCCACCACUCCAGGAGCUACCUAUCCUUUGUGGAAAGACACCGACAAGGAUUUACAACCAGAUAUAAAAUAUACAGGUAUGAUGGAGGCUAAAGAGCCUUCGC
rnacentral:lncRNA from 1 species